AUGCCACACACUCAGAUGUGUGUUCAUCUCCAGAUACUACUCCAUGCUACCUGCCCUUUGUGUUUUGUUCAAUAACUGGGUAUCAUAUCCCAGCCAGUAUGCCGUCUGUUUUGUGUUUGUUUCCUUCUAGUUCCAAAGGGGUCAUCAUGAUGUUACCUUCUUUCAAUAUGGUGCUUUGCAUGACUACUGUUGUAUGGUACCAUCUUGUGGCCAAUAAGUACAUCUUAUCCUAUGACCUUUGCUAUGACCCUUUGCAAAUAAGUAGAAGAUUGUUAUAAGCGUCAAUACUCCGUAUAAAUUGAUCGCUGCUGUGAGUUCCCUUUCAGCUUAUCGUAGGCAUACAUUAUUGCUAGCACGGUAAAGCCAACCAACACGAAUGAUGAAGUAAACGUAGCGGUACUUCUGUAUACCAACACCCUUACUUAAAUGUACCGGUGUCAUUCCCUACUGGCACAUAUAUUCUUAUAUGCUAGCCAGCUUGUAAAAUUAACCAAUUAAAAUAAUUAUUUCAAGAUAGAAAUAACUUAUCGGUUUCUGGAAGCAUGUGUAAUGUGAAUUCAAGGACUCGACGGAAGUUGAAUCACUUCAUCUAUAUUGCUUUCAGUAUUUUGGGUAACUAAAUUUAACAUUUGCACAUACAAAUGUUAAAGUACAAAUGUUAAAUCUAGUUACCCAAGCAGAAUAUGAAGAUAGUUUAUAGUAUAUAUAUACUAUAUAAAUCUAGUUAACAUUUAGUCUAAAUGUUAAAUCUAGUUACCUAAAAUCCUGAAAGCAAAAUGUAUAAAUAUAUAUCUUUUAAGGCAGUAUAAGCUUCGAUUCCUAUUGCUGCUCUGUUAAAUCUCAUCUUUCGUUGUGGCCCAACACUCUAGUAUGCAUGUUGCACCAAGCUUCUUUGAGCCGCUCUGCCCUCUGAUUUUGCUGCGUAGGGGAAUCUUUAUCAGGUUGGGCUACUUCCAGUUGUGCGAUGUAAAGAUUCGUAUUUUCUAGAAGGUAGACAAAAAACUCGCGUUCUCUUAAGGCAACAACCGGAAGAUUCUGCAGCGCACAGGGCAUACCAUUAUUGUAGAAACGACCUUUAGUACCGAUCUCCAACCCCCUUUAAAACUGGUUUUGCAACCGGUACCGUUAUGUCGGUCCUUUAGUACCAGAUCAAAUAAGUACCGGUUGGUAACCAGUAUCAACUUGUUUUGCGGCCAAAAAAAUAAAGAAAAAAACAGUCAGAAGGCUCGCGCACACGCGCAUCACAUGAAAUAUGCGUGUGCGGGGUCCAUGGGAUUCGAACCCAUGAAAUCAAGCUGCGCGCGACCCUUCGUUACCAUCUCACCUACAUAGCGCAUAUGCUUUCCUGAAGUAACCCGUGGAGGAGGCUUUAGUACCGGGUCAUAACACCACCCGGUACUAAAAAUGACUCUUCAGUACCGGGUCAUAACACCACCCGAUACUAGUAUCGGAUGGUGUAAUGACCCGAUACUAAAAGGCCUCUAGGGACCCUCAAAUUUGAACCCGGUACUAAUGCUAAUAUUAGUAGCGGGUCAAAGUGCAGCCAGAACUAAAGCAUGGGAUGAAAGGUCAUAUUUCUAGUAGUGUAUAGUUGUUGUGAAGGACUGACUUGGCUGUCCUCUCUCUUCUCCAUCCCCUUGGUCUUACGCCGCCGCUCGCACGCGAGCCGGUGCCCAACCAGAGGAGUGAGAGCUAGGGGCAGGUUGGGAGGUGGGGAUAGUGACUGGUGGCCAGGGUGAUGGUUGAUCCUGGUGGGGUUAGGGUUUUAGGGUUUUCGAGCUUCCUAUGGUCGGCGAACCUAGAGGAGGAGCUCAACAUCAGCUGCAACCCGCGAUGGUGGUGGUUUGGCCGGCGCCCGAGGCGAGGCAGCGCGGGAGUGCUGCCGGUGGGUUGGUGUUGGCACUCAUUAUUGACAACUAUUUUGUUCAUAAAAUAACACUCAAACUUGCUGCUGCUGCUGCUGCUGCCAUCGCCACCCUAGCCAUAAUAUAAAGGCAAAAUUUGCUAAAGGACAUGCAAAAUGAUGCUAGUUUGCUGGCGGGCAUCGUUGACCUUGUAAUAUGCUACAAGACACUCUAGUUGUGUAUCAAUUUGCUGAAAGACAUUGCUAUGACUAAAAUAAUGUUUCUGGACUGAGUUGGAGAGAGAGAUGGAGUGAAAUGUCUGUUUUGCCCAUGACCCCACUGGUCAGAUCCUUCUUCUUCCACCCUCCUUUGUUCUUUCUUCAACCAUUACCCAGCUCCAGCGUGUUGCAGAUCUACGAGGGUGGCGGCCUGGGGCGAGGGGCAUCGCUCGCCCUUGGAGGAGCGCUGCGAGCGACGGCGCGGGGGCGGCAACAGCGCGUCAGAACCUGACUGUUCGUUAGCUCCUCUCGCUGCUGGGGAAGGAGGGGGAUGGGCCAUGGACGGGGUUCCCUUGAAAACCUCAGCGUCGAGCUCGGGCGGCUACGCGCAGGCAGCACUAGGCUGCUUCACGGGGAGGGGGCGCGGCCAAUCAUUGGCACCCCACUGGUCCAAUGCUGAUGAAGAUGGUGCCAGCGUCGUGUGAGGACAUCUCAUCUCCUCGAGUUCCAUGGCCAGCACAGGUGAGCUGCCGCUACCACAAAACAGAGGUUUCGUGAGAGUCAAAAAACCUUAUGAAAAUAGCUAAAACCAUCAUGAAAAUAAUCCGUGACAUGACACUCUCACGAAAAUCCUCUCACAAAUAUGGUGCCAUGAAAAUACCAUUUUCAUGAGAGUGAACUGUCAUGAUUUUAUUUCGUGAGAGUAUUUCCUAUCAAUGACCUCCACGAAAUACUUUGUGCCACCAGGUCUUCAAGAUCAUUUUCAUGAGAGCUGAACAUCAGGAAAAGUCCGCCACAAAUGUUUUUCUUGGAGCCCCUAACUCUCAUGAAAAUCAUGCGGGCCGCCACGAAAAACAGCAUGACCAAAUGACAAAUUUCAUUUUCAUGUGUUCAUACCGCCAUGAAAAUGGUCAUUUUCAUGAGAGUUGAUGAAACAAAAAAUAGUGCCAUUUUCAUGAGAGUUCAAGCAACCAGGAAAAGACACUAAUAAACAUCCAGAUCCCAUCCAGCACACAUCCAUGCACAUAUAUAACCCACAUAUUGCUCCAGCACACAUCCAUGCAUAUACAAGAUCCAAAUGUUAAUAUAGUAGACAUCCAUGCCUGAACUAGUCUGCCACACAAGUCAUUGAUGCUACAAAUCCUACAAUCGCAGCAUGUGCAUACAAGUCACAGAAUGAGACAAUGUACCCAAAACUAAAAGGUUAGCAUCAACUGUGCUUCAACCAAAGUUGUCAUCCCAACUCUCCUCUUCAUCCAUGCCAUUCUUGUCGUGGCCGUCACUGUCAGUCCCCAUGGCAUUGCCAAUGCUGUGCAUGUCUUGGUAGGAACCUACAUGUGAUGAACUAGUAACCUGCAAAAAGAGCUCAAAGGAUCUUGUUCUCAUAUUGUAGCUGUGAAAUUCUUACAAGUAGUGUUGCAAUCAGUUCACUUUGAACCAAAAGAGCUCAAAGGAUCUUGUCCUAAAAGUUCCUCAUAAAGCUUAUGGGUUUGCUGGUGGAACUGGAAGGGCUUGAUGCAGCAGAUGCCAUUCUGCAAUAGAGAAAAAUUUAGAGAGCAGUACUAGUUAAAAUUGGAUGCAGAAGAUACACAUGAAACUAGUAUUUAUACAAGUCUAUACAAUUAAAAUCUAAGGAGACUUAUCAUCGUUUUCAUGUGUUGUGAAUUAAAAUAAUGAAGGAUACACUGUUAGGUGAAAAUUCAAGAAACAAAAUUUUGCAUAGAGAUAAAGGUCCAACAUUAUUACAAGUUAAGGUAGUUUUAAAUAUCCUUGUAAUCUUCCUUUGGUUUCCUCAACGAUUCGAAGACAAUAACCUUGCUUCUAUCAAUGAUAAUUAUAAGGAGAAUCCAGUGGAAACUGUGUAUUCGUAUUAGAACUACCUAAGGUUAAUUAGGUUAGGAAAGGAAAUUGAAAAUAGAUGGUACCCACACUUACUUAAAGUUGUCGGGCAAUAGUAUGUAAUGCUUGUAAUUCCGUUGCUCCAAGAAUUUGUAUAUGUGGUCCAAUGUAGACUUUGGUUGAUCCCGUAUCUGCUGUUGGUUAAAUAAGUGUUUCUAGCCAUUUCUAGCCAUUAGAACCGGGACUAAAGGGGGCUCUUUAGUACGGGUUGAUAUUACUAACCGGGAUUAAAGAGCCCCCAUUAGAGUUGGUUUUUGGAUGCGGAACUAACAACUCCUUUAGUCCUGAGUACGAAAACAACUGACAUAUUUGUUGCUGGAUGGAAGGUCCUUUCUCUACCGUGAAUAUUGCCAGAAAGAAUUGAAAGAGACUGCUUGCUAAAAAUAUGUCAUAGAUGUAGACCAAGCUACCAAGGAGGUAGACCAAACAUGAUACACACCAUGCGUACCUUGCUGUGCAGACUAUGCAUUGACAAGAUACCCGACCACAUGUUGGCCUCGGUCACAUCAAAAGAAUCAUGUAGGCCACCAAUAAACUACUUGAAGCGGCAUUCCGUAUCGUAUAUGCAUUGCCGGUUCAUCUGCAUUACAUUACAUAAAGCACUAUUAACUAUUUGAAUAAAAUGAACCAAUUUAAAAGUAAUGUGUUGUACUCUACUAUAGAAAGCCCUAUCACUGCCGGAUCCAAAAACAUCAUUGUUAAUGGUGGUUAAGUACCAAAUAUGACGGUCAAUAUUCUCAAGAAUAAUGGAGAAUUAGCAUUUCUUAGACACAUAUUUGGUUUUGAACAAUGUAGUUCCACAUGUCUUUGGAGAUUAUUUGGGUGUGGGUGAAAUAAUACAAAAAUAAGGAGAAAACACACUCCCAUGGCGAAGAAACACAACUCCAACCAAUGAGAGAUAGCCACAGGGGCAGCACACGGAUCCAUGGGCCCACUAACCGCAUCAAACCAUCUUACCAAGGCAGGUAGCACCCACAACCGUCAUUAGGACCCACCUGGAAGUCUACCAAGAAGAAGGUUGCGAGUGGGGCCAGGAGGGGUUCGGUUGAAUCAUCUCUAGCUAGCUCCCCUCAUCCCCAGCUGGUGGGUGGUGGUGGUUGAUGGUGUCCCUACAUCAGUUAGAGGAGAUUCCCCCAAAUAUUCCUCCUGUAAACCACCUCUAUGGACCUAUACAUAGAGGGGUGUGCUCUCCAUUCCAACACACACCACAAGUUGAAUCACUCUCUCCCUCUUUAGUUUCCAAGUUUAUGGAGUUAGGCUAGAGUAGCUCUGCUCAAGGUUCCAAGUCCACUUGGAGUUAAGCAUAUGUCUCUUGUAUCGUUAUUUCCUAAAUUGACUUUAUGCUUAGUUCUUAUAUGCAUGAGUUAGUCUAAUACCCUUGCUAUAUUGAUAUGCUCGGCUUAUAUGCUCGUAUGCUAGUCAUAUACCCUUGCUGUCGUAGUAUAGGCUUAUAUGCUCUCAUGUGUGCCUGUAGACCUUGCUAUAGUAUAUACUUGUUGUGCAUACAUACCAUGUAUAGGCUAGUCGAUCUAUACCAUGGCAUUGGUUCAAUAGCCAUGUUUUUGGUGGCUCCAACCCUAGUCACAAUAGCUCGGGACAGCUGGAGUGUUGUUAAAAAUGCAAGAGUGGUGCUUGGGUUGUUUAGCAUCGUUGGAUAUGGGUUUGCCCCACGGGUUUCUAACGGUAGGCGGCAGCUAGUGACAUCCCUGUCCGUCCUUCGUAAUCCCCCCACAUUCAGGUACGCCAUAAAUGUUCGUAAAUUAGCAGUAACUACGCCGGUACACCUGUAGGGUAUUGUCUCCCUGUAGUACCUUGGUGCAUAGAACUAAGUCCUAUACACUGUGUGUGUAUGUUUACGCUGAUAUGAUCUGUGCAGUAUAUAGGAUGUAUAUAUGAACCUAGAGCUAACUCCUAGUCCGUUCUCCAUAGCUUAGUUAUCUUGAGAUGAUUCUUCUGUAUGUGUAACACUACCCAUCUUAUCAUUAUCCUUGAUCCUGUCUUGUGUAAUAUAUCUACUCAUCCUAUGAUAUACUCAUAUGCAUAGUAAACUAUUUUGACCUACCCGCCUUCCUUUGGGAAAUAUGAUACCUUGGAAUAAUCCUAGGUGAAAUCCUACAACGGUAUAUCCAUGUAAAUGCGGAUUUAUUCAUGACCAUUAAAUAUACCAACAAUCAUCACUGUGAGUUUUGGGCGUCGUUAGUGAAGGGUUGGUAGUGAUGGGCAUCCCCUUCACCAAUGGACCUGGAACCGGCGGUGAUGGCUAUUAUAAAAAAGGGGACACCACCCAGCGUACCCCACGACCCGGCCGGCCGCACCUCCCAUCAUCCCCGCCAGCCGCCCUUCCUUUUCGCCGGCCGAGCAUGGUCCCGGCCUUUGUCCCUACCACCUCGCCUCCACCGCGACCCCCCGCCGAUGCCCUCGUGCCUGGCCCCCCUCAUCUUGCCGGCCACCCUCCCGAUGCGUCCACUGGGGCCCUCGCACCACCAACCGCCCUUGCUUAGAGAGGGAGAGAGAGGAGGGAGGUGAGGCCACGCACCUCGUCCUACACCGCCGCUGUUUCUCCUCGGCCCACCGCGCCUCACCCCACACCACAGCCGCGCCUUGCCAUCUUACCGGCUGUGACGCCUCAUCUCACCGGCCACCGUUCCUCACCCCCACUUCGGUCGUCGCCGCUCCUUGCCCUACCGCUGCUCUUUGCCGCUGCGAAUGAGCGCCGAGUGGAGGAGGAGGGAUGGGGCAGGAGGAGGGCAAGAUCCGGGAGGAAGGGAGAGAUCUCGGGAGGUGGAGAUGGAAGGAUAUGGCGGAAGGGAGAGAUCCAGAGGGAGAGAGCAGGGGAGAGAGGGGGGCGUGUGGGGAGAGAGCGCGUGUGGGGUGGGGCCGGGCUGGUGGGAUGGAAGGGAGAGGGGCUAGACGGGCGCAGUGCAUUCAACUGGAUGAAGUAAAUAUUUUGGAUUCGAGACCCCAGCUUUAUUAUCACCGCUGGUCCGUAGUACCAUCCGGUGCCUGCUCGUAAUUUAAUUUGAAUCUGCGGUGAUGUUUUAUUAUCACCAUCGGAUCAUAUAAAAAUCCGGCGGUUAAAAAUCCGCUGGUUUCGAUGAAAACCGACGGUGAUAGGAUGACUGUGAUAGUCUCUUCUCUAGUAGUGGUAUAUUAGUACCGGCUGCCGGAUGGUGUUGCCGACCAGUACUUCUCCGGGGGCGAUUCAGUACUGCUGUUAGCAAAGCUUGUUCUCUAUGAAUUUGGGGAUGGAAAGCUAGUUCUCUAGUUGUGAUUUGUUACAUAUAUAUCUAUGAUAGUCUAGAAAUUGCAUGUCCUUCGUUGACAUAGUUGAAGCUGCUUCAAGAAUUUACUUCGUGCAGUCGUGCAGCAUAUUGGAUUAUCACCUAGACAGGAUACAUAGGUGAAGCAUUGGAUGUGAUUGUGGCCGAUAAUUAUGCAGGACGCUGUUGCAAUCAACCACCAAGAAGUCUGGAGUGAUGGGGUUGCCUCAUCAAUAAUUUUUAUAUAUGGCUGCAGUAUUAUUAAGCCCACGUCAAUAAUUUUUUGUCCGCACCAUAUAUCGAUGGGGUUGCCUCAUCAAUAAUUCGCGCAACCAGACAAGCUGCAGACUCAAUAUGGUACGAAGCUAGUUGCUCAGCCCACAUGCUCUGAUAUAACAUUGACAUCUGCUGAUCUACAGUAUAUAUGACCAGAAAUAUUGUGCCCACCUCAAUAACUUUCUGAAGUAUCGUGGGGAAGAACCUACGCGUACUAUGCCUCGGAACUAACUGACAUAUCGGCCCAGGCGGUCUAGGCCGAUUGGACUGGCUCUUCCUUGUGGCUUCUCACAUCCCCUUCGUCCCCAAGUAAUUUCAGGUGUUCUGUAGUUUUCUUUUCACUUGCAUCUGAGCCUCCUAUAUCAAUAGCUUCGGGAUAAGAAUGCCUCUUGAUAACCUUCCAAAUCCUCGCUUGAUUCACAUUGAUUCCGAAAUCAUCUUGCCAUAUCUUCAGAGACUUAGGUCCUAAGGCAUCAUGGAGGAUUGCUCGCCAAGAAUGAGCACCAUUGGGCUCCUGAGGACCCUAGGCCGAUCAGCCCGGGCUCUAUAGGUCGAUUGGCCCAGGCCCUCUCUGGGCCUGUUGGCCUUCAUCUUUCUUUGAGUCGACGCUUAUUCAGGGCUUUGUCCAAUUAUAGUCCAUUAUAGUCUAAUUUCCUAAAAAACAGAAUGUCCUCCAAAAUACAAUGCAUAUGUGAAAACAACCCAAUUAUUAGGUAUGAUCAAUAGUUUAGGUAUUAAAUUAAUAUUAUUAUUUAAGAUAAACAGGGGUAAAGGGUGUCAUUAAUAACAAGCGCCAACAAGCGUCCUAGCUGUUCAAUAAAUUUUUUCUAGUACCGAUUGGUAACACUAACCGGUGCUAAUAUGUACCCUUUAUUACCGGUUAUUUUACCAGGUACUAAAGGAGACAAGAGCAUCCUAACAUAAGGUUAAUAUCAUCCAUUUCAUGAGUAAAAUACUAUGAUUCAAAAAUAAUUCAAAUCCCUUAAGACAAUACCUAUCAAAUGAGUAAAUUGUAAAUAGAGUAAUCUUGAUCAAACAAUGUCCUAAUGAAACGGAACACUUCUGGUUCGUGUAGAGCACAAUAUAGAAAACAGUAGGGUAGCUGUAUGAUUGACACGUGGUCCAUUAAUUAUUGAGCCAACACUAUGGACAUGUCUUCAUGAGUAGUGUACUAGUCAUAAUACAUGGUAUGCAGUAGGUGGAGGUAUUGACUUAGCCAUGCUAUGAGCACUUAGUUACAACAAACACUUUGCCAUUAUCGAGCAUCCCAAAUCACUACAAAAUCCAUAGUUUACCAUAUACUACAAAAUCUGAGUUAAAAUAAGAGCAUACACGGAAGAGUCCGAAUGCACGGCACAUUGAAUUACUAGACAAAAUUUAUGGGACAAGGUUUUGGGUAACCGCAUGAAAAAUAUUGGAUUUUACUGAACACUUAGUUACAAUUACCAUGCCCGUGAGCACUUAGUCACCACAAACAUUUAACCACUUUAGAUCAUCCUGAAUCCCUAUAAAUUCUAUACCUUACACCGUACCAUGAAAACGACAAGAACAGAGACAGAUGCGGUGAAAAUCUCCAGAGCAAGCCUGAAAUUAAAAUAAGAGGAGGCAGUCACUAUCGACAGGACACGGAGAUUGCUAGCCAUGACAGAGGAAGACAUGAUAUGAUAUUCACCUCUGAAAUGCAGCGUAGACUAAAUGAAGCACAAUUGCAAGUGAGUGUGGCAGAUAAUGGACCAUCGAGACCAUCGAAUGGUAUGAAGCAUGAUUAUCACCUAGACAUGAUAUCCUAGACAGGACGGUGAAUUGUAAAAAGAGUAAUCUUGAUCAAAGAAUGUCCUAAUGAAACGGAACAUUUUUGGUACGUGUAGAGCAAAAUAUAGAAAACAGUAGAGUAGUUGUACGAUUGAAACUGCAUCCAUCGACGUGGUGCAUGAAUUGUUGAGCCAACACUGUGGACAUGUCUUCAUGAACACCAUCUAGUGAGGACAGCAUGCAGAAAAAUAUAAAAACAUGUCAUAGGGAGGCAGACCAAUCUUGCGAGGUAGACGAAACGUGAUACACGAUCUGCCUACCUUGUCGUGUGGAUACCCCAAGUGAAGAUGUCAUAGAGGUGCAGACCAAGCUAGCAAGGAGGUAGAUGAAACGUGAUACACGGCCUGCCUACCUUGCCGUGGAUAUUAGUCCUGAUAUCAUUCUAUUGUUCAAGGAAUAACACUCAAUGCUGCUGCUGCUGCUGACCUGGCUCCAUAAAGUUAUAUUCCUCUAGCCGCUUGCACUAACUUUAUCUGAAGUAUUAUUCUCUCUGCACUGUAUAUAUGGUUACGGAGUUUGCUGGAGUAUCCGGGGGGAAGAACCUACAUAAUAUGUCUUGGAACUAACUGACAUUGAUUCACAGACAAGGUGCUGUUGUUGACAUGGUACAGUAAAUAAUAUAGUUUACCAUAUACCGUAUACCAUUAUAUGUUAGCUAAAAUAAGAGCAUAACAUGUCGCAGGAGUCCAAAAGCACCGGUUGAGGACCAGGUACAUUAAAUUACUAGAAAACAAAAGGGGACAAGGUUUAGGUAGCCACAUGAAAAACAUUUGAAUUUACUGUACCAUGAACACUUAGUUACCAUGCCGGGAGCACCUAGUUAACACUAACAUUUAGCCACUUUAGAUCAUCCCGAAACACCAAUGACCCUCAAUAGCGACAAAUUUUGGUUUAAAUGCCGUCACCAAUGAUCCUCAAUAGUGACGUGUUUAGGUUUAAAUCCCAUCACUAAUAACCCUUGGUAGUGACGUGUUUUGGUUUAAAUCUCAUCACCACUGAUCCUCACUAGUGACGUGUUUUUAGCAACACACGUUAUGAAUGACUUGUCAUUGGUGACAUGUUAAACGCGUUAUCUCAAUGGCAAAUCAAUGGUGACGUGUUUAAAAAAACAUGUCACUGUGAGAGUUAUUGGUGAAGGGUAAUUAAAAUGCAUCACUAAUUUUGUAGCAUUAGUUAUGAUAUAAUUUUGUAACGCAAAAAUCUACCAUAGUAAUGAGGUUUAGAGCCAUCACUAAUGUGGGUUUCUUAUCGUAGUGAUGCAAGCUCUACAAGGUGCUGUUGUUGCCAUUUUAAAGCAUCCCAAAUGACUACAAGAGUCCGGUUGAGGACUAAACAAAUUGAAUUACUAGAACCAAAUGUAUGUCCAGAACAAAGAAAGGGGUCAAGGUUUGGGUAACCGCAUUAAAAACAUUGAAUUUUACUGUACCAUGAACACUUAGUUACCAUUACCAUGCCUUGAGCACCUAGUUACCACAAACAUUAAUUUAGCCACUUUAGAGGUUCCACAAUCACUAUAAAUAAUAUACCAACACCGUACCAUGAAAACAUCAAGAAGAGAGACGGGUACAUGGACCACCAUCAAGUGAGUAGUGACAGCACGCACAAGAAUACCCGGAACCUUUUAGCUUGUCUGUAGUGAUCUGUUUUCUUCGCCACAAAUAAUGAAAGAGGCUGACCAAGCUAGCAACGAGGUAGAGCAAACGUGAUACACGUAGGUUUCAUUCAAGACAUCCAUGUAAGAUUCAUUCAAAACAUUCAUGGAAAUUUCUUGUAAGUUUUCAUGUAAAUUUCAUUCAAGACAUUUGUUAGAGGUGUUGUAUAUACACUUAACGUACAUAUAUCUAUGAUUUCAUGGUUGUUAGUGAUGGCAGAUGAGGAGCAUGCAAGGUGUUUAAUGGAGCAGAUUAUUGCUAGUGGUAGUGGCUCCAACCUGCCCGUAACGUACACCGACGAAGAGGGCAGCCAGGCGGACAUGUUCCUCAACAUGUCCGGUGAUGGCAAUGAAGAGCCCGAGCAAAACCUUGCCGUGACGGAAGGUUCCAUCGAGGUAUAUAUCAUUUCCAUUAUUUUACCCCAUCUAUAAUUUCAUAUUCAUUAUUACUAUGUGCUAAUUAAUGAAUCUUGAACCGUUAGUCCUCUAGAUCAACGAACCGAAAUAAGCCCCGAGGUCUUACAAAGAUAAUGCAGGGAAGGCUUCACAUCAUGGAAGUCACAGAAGAGGGCACAUCGGUUGCUCCCGAACAUGUGGCAAGAAAGUACGUGAGUCAAACCGGGGCAAUCGUAAGGGACAACAUGCCCAUCAGCAUCAGGGAAUGAAAGAGCAAUAGAAAUGAUCUAUACGCACCCCCGGAUACACAAAAGGAUAUGUUGUGGGCAAAUAUCAAGAAACACUUCACAUUUCCCAAAGGAUAUGUUGAAAAAUAUGUGAAAGCGUGGAUGUUGAAGAAGAUGGCCACCCAAUUCCAGACAUUCAAGAAGAUGUUGGAUGCCAACUUCAUCAAGAAGGGUCGAACUCCGGGUUUCAAUGAGUGGCCAAAGUUAAGGGACCACUGGGAGUCGUUUGUCGAAUACAAGACGAGCGAAGGUGGUGCGAGUAAGGUUCACAUCAAUGUUGCCAAUGCUAGCAAGGAGUACCAUCAUCAUCUAGGGCGACGUGGUUACAGCUCUGCAAUUCCCAGAUGGCGCAAGAUGGAACAAGACCUGAUCGAUCGGGGUAUCGUACCAGCAACUCUUGACUGGAUCGAUUGAAAAAUUGGUAUUAUGCUCAUGAAGGCAAUCUGAGCCAAGAGGAUCCGACAUUGGUCUUCAAUAAAACAAUACGUCAGAAGGUCGGAAGGCUUAUUAGGAACAUUGAAGAUGCUAAAGCUGGGAGGUUCAAGGUGGAUAGAGAGAAUGAUGAACUCACAUUGGCCCUCGGGACUGUCAUCUCUAGCACUUCCAGCUCCAGGACUAUCGUCACCACCGGGACCGUCGCUUCCUGCUCGAUCACAGUCUCCAUCUCCAGCACAUCCUGGUGGUGCGAGCGACGACGACAACAACACCCCUCCCUGCCCACCAUUGCCGGGACUAAGACCCGCAUUGAGUAAGGAACCUGCAACACCACUGAAGAAGUCGCGACCACCACCUUCAAGGCAAGUCAGCAAAAGAAGAAAGCAGAGAAGCCUAAACCCACUGAGAAGCCAGCGACUGAUAUGACCGAUGCGGAAAGAUGGAAGGCACUCAAAGAAGAAUGCAGGGAGUGGUUCAGCGAAGGCGAAGGUGAGAAAGUCGUAUGAAUCGAAUUCAAGGAUAUAUAUGAAGUGAACCAUCAGGAUGCCCUUGAUGUCUCUCUCAUCAGCGCCUAGGUUCUGUAAGUGUAUGUUUAUCUAUAAGUAAAUUUUGGCUCAUAUCAUUAUUUUUUUUGCGUGCGUCACCCUACUAACUUCGUCUUCCAUUUUAUGUAGGAUGCUAAUUCAGACGUGCCGCAUAGAAGCGUACUUCCAUGUUGGAUUCAUGGAUCCAUCCCUAGUUAACCAAAAGCCGAUACGGAAGUAGCUAGAGAAAACGUUGGAGGUGGUGUACAACCUCCUGGACAAACUAAACUACAGAAUAGGGGCAAUAUGUGAGGGUCUUGUAGGAUUCCUAGUGGACGAGGUGAUAAAUCCAUAAGGAGAAUAUCAUUCCAACGGACGAGCAUUAGACACACUGAGCAACACCUAGAUGGGAGGAUCCUAGGAAUGACCUCGACAGAUUUUGGUAUAAAUAGUAAUUGUGUAAAUACUAGUUUGAUUUGUAUAGGAAUAUACUAAGAAUUGUAUAUAUAGUAAUUGUACAAAUACUAGUUUGAUUUGUAUGAAUACUAGAUUGAUUUUAUUAUAAAAAAGUUUUAAGUCGUACGUGCAUGCGCCUACAAAGGCGCGGAUGCCUUUUAAUCCCAGUCGGAAAAACAAACUGGUACUAAAGGGGCUCGUGCCGCACCUGGCAUGACCACCCCUUUAGUCCCGGUUGAACGACCCAGGACUAAAGAUCUCCGCGUCUCAAAAAUUUUAUCUCGGAUGCUUUUUAGAGAGAUUUGAGGCCUAUCAACCAAGACUAAUAUCGAGUUUUCUACCAGUGAAACUAACUAACGUUCACAUGGUUUUGACAUUCACCUGCCAUUUGGUGUAGACAAGGGCACCCUAACAUAUGGUUAAUAUUAUUCUUGAAAGAAAAUCCUUUGAUUCAAAAUACUUCAAACCUAAUAAUACAAUACUUCUCACAUCUGAAAAAUAUGAGACGGCCCGACAGUAUUCUAAUCGACGCAAUAAUAUUUUGAGGGCAGCACUACUACAGCGACCCUCAUUCGUGCCGGUGCUGGGACUCCUAUCACGACCCUGAUACAAAUGAGGGUACAUUAUUGGUGCCAGUGCUAGAACAGCCACGAAUAACUUGCUAAACGUGCUGUUACACUCACUACAGGGACCAAGAAGGUAGAUAAAUUACACGACAUAGCCUUGGUUGCCGUGGAAGCGCCAAGAAGGGAGACAAAUUACAGGGACCACACCAUCAAGUAGAUAGUGACAAUAUGCAAAAGAAUACCCGCGCCUGUUAGCAUGUGAACUGACCACACCACGAAACGUGAUACACGGCAAGCGUACCAAGGCCUUGCUGUGCAGACUAUGCAUGGACAACACAUGGUACCUGACCGCUUUUGGCCUCAGACACAUCGAAAAACUGCAUCGUUCCACGUUGUACAUCCAUUGCUAGUUUAUCUAUAUUACAUAAUAUAUUAUUAGCUAUUUGAAUAGAAUGAACCAAUUAAAAAAUUGCGUUGUAUUUUUAGUACCGGCUGCAGGAUGGUGUUACCAACCAGUACUAAUUGGCCUGUAGGAGUGAUGGUUAUUAGACUUGGUACUGUUGUUAGCAUCAUUAACCUAAUUGUGCGCCGUAUGAAUUUGGGGAUGCAAAGCUAGCUCUCUAUGAAUGUGAGGGAUGGAAAGCUAGUUCUCUAGUAGUAAUUAUAUAUAUGACAGUCAAGAAAUCGAACACUAUGCUGCUACGAGUCACCAUCAUUUCCUUCAUUGACAAUCUGACAUAGGUGAAGCUGCUUCAAUAAUUUCCUUCGCGCAGUCGUGGAGCUUAUUGGAUUAUCACCAGGACGGGACACGGAAAUGGCCAGCAAUGAAGCUGAUUGCCGUCUGAGGAAGACUACAUACUUACCUAUGAAAUGAAGCGAUUGCAUAGACUAAUGAAGCAUUGCAUAUUUGCAUGUGAGUGUGGCAGAUAAUUCUGCAGGACAUGAUUGCAAUCCACGCACCAUCGAGAAGACUGGGGCGAUGGGGUUGCCUCAUCAAUAAUCACGUGGAUGCAUGCAUGCAUGUUCCCGCAACCGGACAAGGGUCUGAUAUAUGGCUAUAGUAUUACUGAGCCCACAUCAAUAAUUUCCACUGGUGUAUCGUGUGGGAAGAAUCAACAUACUACACCUCGAGUUCUUGGAACUAACUGACGUUCACAUGCAACCUCCACAAGGUGCUGUAUGCUUUUGACAUUCACCUGCCAGUUCGUGUAGAGAAGGACACCCUAACGUAUAGUUAAUAUUAUCCAUUUCAUGAGUAAAAUACUGUGAUUCAAAAAUACUUCAAAUCCCUUGAGACAAUACUUCUCACUUGACUAACCACUAACCAACCCCGAAACCCUAACUCAACUCCGAACCCUAACCCCUAACGGCAUAACCACUCCGUUUUGCCGGCGAGAUGGAGGAACUGGCUGGAAGGUAGAGAGGGCAGCGGUCCAGGGUUGAAAACGACGGGCGAGCGCAGUAACAUGUGGAGGAGGAAGUGCCACGUAUUCGUUCACCGCUAUUGGGCAGCGACACACGACACGCCCAAUAAGAUCUUCGCACGGUAGAAGGACGUCAUGUAUUCAAUAAUGUUAUUGGUCCCCCAUGUGCAGAAGGGCGCGCGCGUAUGGAAUAACAAGUAGGGACACUGCAACUAAUCUACUCUGCUCGUCCAGUCCCUAGCCUAUAAAUAGAUGCCAUGCUAGCUCUUGUUGUGCUCACAAUUAAUCCGAUUACACACGAGCUUCUCUCCCUGGCCAAGACACAACCAUAGUAUGAUGAAGAACAUGGCACUAGCCGGCAAUGGUAUGAAGAAGUUAAUCCUCGCUGUUCUCUUACUGUGUCUAGUUAUAGGGCAGAUACAAGUGGAAGCUAAGAGCUGCUGCCCAUCCACCACUGCAAGAAAUGUCUACAAUACCUGCCGUUUCACGGGUACAUCCCGUCCAACGUGUGCAAAACUGUCAGGCUGCAAAAUUAUCAGCGGGAACAAAUGCAAGCCCCCUAACGACCACCUCACCCUUGACCCGGACACUGGUAAAUAAUAAAUUUAUCUCACUUGAUUUCUUCGUGAUUUGAGUCGUUAAUGUAUUUUCCAUCUGAUGAAACGUAUUGGUUUUGCAUUGAAGAGGAAGUUAAUGUGCUUAACUUCUGCAAGUUGGGGUGUGCGUCGUCUGUGUGCAACAACAUCAACGCUGGUAAGCAACUUUUGCUCAGACAGAGAAAACAAUAAUCAUUAAUUAGCGGCAGCUAGAAUCCUAUAAUCUAAUAUAUAUAUAUAUAUAUAAUUUUAUCAGCUCUGGGAAAUGAAGAGGCGAACGAUGCCGUUGAGAGUUGCGACCAAGCCUGCUCUAGCUUCUGCAGCGUGCAUGUUGGCAGCGCCACCGUGGUUGCUUAAGCAAAUGCAUCCAACUAGAUCGUCCUUGUGCUGAAUAAUUGGAUAUCGUAUCCACUUAAAGCUGCCUUGUGUAGUACGUCUUUGUGUCUCUCUUUAUAUUCCAAUAAGGUCGGUGAUCUUGAUGCCACACACUCAGAUGUGUGUUCAUCUCCAGAUACUACUCCAUGCUACCUGCCCUUUGUGUUUUGUUCAAUAACUGGGUAUCAUAUCCCAGCCAGUAUGCCGUCUGUUUUGUGUUUGUUUCCUUCUAGUUCCAAAGGGGUCAUCAUGAUGUUACCUUCUUUCAAUAUGGUGCUUUGCAUGACUACUGUUGUAUGGUACCAUCUUGUGGCCAAUAAGUACAUCUUAUCCUAUGACCUUUGCUAUGACCCUUUGCAAAUAAGUAGAAGAUUGUUAUAAGCGUCAAUACUCCGUAUAAAUUGAUCGCUGCUGUGAGUUCCCUUUCAGCUUAUCGUAGGCAUACAUUAUUGCUAGCACGGUAAAGCCAACCAACACGAAUGAUGAAGUAAACGUAGCGGUACUUCUGUAUACCAACACCCUUACUUAAAUGUACCGGUGUCAUUCCCUACUGGCACAUAUAUUCUUAUAUGCUAGCCAGCUUGUAAAAUUAACCAAUUAAAAUAAUUAUUUCAAGAUAGAAAUAACUUAUCGGUUUCUGGAAGCAUGUGUAAUGUGAAUUCAAGGACUCGACGGAAGUUGAAUCACUUCAUCUAUAUUGCUUUCAGUAUUUUGGGUAACUAAAUUUAACAUUUGCACAUACAAAUGUUAAAGUACAAAUGUUAAAUCUAGUUACCCAAGCAGAAUAUGAAGAUAGUUUAUAGUAUAUAUAUACUAUAUAAAUCUAGUUAACAUUUAGUCUAAAUGUUAAAUCUAGUUACCUAAAAUCCUGAAAGCAAAAUGUAUAAAUAUAUAUCUUUUAAGGCAGUAUAAGCUUCGAUUCCUAUUGCUGCUCUGUUAAAUCUCAUCUUUCGUUGUGGCCCAACACUCUAGUAUGCAUGUUGCACCAAGCUUCUUUGAGCCGCUCUGCCCUCUGAUUUUGCUGCGUAGGGGAAUCUUUAUCAGGUUGGGCUACUUCCAGUUGUGCGAUGUAAAGAUUCGUAUUUUCUAGAAGGUAGACAAAAAACUCGCGUUCUCUUAAGGCAACAACCGGAAGAUUCUGCAGCGCACAGGGCAUACCAUUAUUGUAGAAACGACCUUUAGUACCGAUCUCCAACCCCCUUUAAAACUGGUUUUGCAACCGGUACCGUUAUGUCGGUCCUUUAGUACCAGAUCAAAUAAGUACCGGUUGGUAACCAGUAUCAACUUGUUUUGCGGCCAAAAAAAUAAAGAAAAAAACAGUCAGAAGGCUCGCACACACGCGCAUCACAUGAAAUAUGCGUGUGCGGGGUCCAUGGGAUUCGAACCCAUGAAAUCAAGCUGCACGCGACCCUUCGUUACCAUCUCACCUACAUAGCGCAUAUGCUUUCCUGAAGUAACCCGUGGAGGAGGCUUUAGUACCGGGUCAUAACACCACCCGGUACUAAAAAUGACUCUUCAGUACCGGGUCAUAACACCACCUGAUACUAGUAUCGGAUGGUGUAAUGACCCGAUACUAAAAGGCCUCUAGGGACCCUCAAAUUUGAACCCGGUACUAAUGCUAAUAUUAGUAGCGGGUCAAAGUGCAGCCAGAACUAAAGCAUGGGAUGAAAGGUCAUAUUUCUAGUAGUGUAUAGUUGUUGUGAAGGACUGACUUGGCUGUCCUCUCUCUUCUCCAUCCCCUUGGUCUUACGCCGCCGCUCGCACGCGAGCCGGUGCCCAACCAGAGGAGUGAGAGCUAGGGGCAGGUUGGGAGGUGGGGAUAGUGACUGGUGGCCAGGGUGAUGGUUGAUCCUGGUGGGGUUAGGGUUUCAGGGUUUUCGAGCUUCCUAUGGUCGGCGAACCUAGAGGAGAAGCUCAACAUCAGCUGCAACCCGCGAUGGUGGUGGUUUGGCCGGCGCCCGAGGCGAGGCAGCGCGGGAGUGCUGCCGGUGGGUUGGUGUUGGCACUCAUUAUUGACAACUAUUUUGUUCAUAAAAUAACACUCAAACUUGCUGCUGCUGCUGCUGCCAUCGCCACCCUAGCCAUAAUAUAAAGGCAAAAUUUGCUAAAGGACAUGCAAAAUGAUGCUAGUUUGCUGGCGGGCAUCGUUGACCUUGUAAUAUGCUACAAGACACUCUAGUUGUGUAUCAAUUUGCUGAAAGACAUUGCUAUGACUAAAAUAAUGUUUCUGGACUGAGUUGGAGAGAGAGAUGGAGUGAAAUGUCUGUUUUGCCCAUGACCCCACUGGUCAGAUCCUUCUUCUUCCACCCUCCUUUGUUCUUUCUUCAACCAUUACCCAGCUCCAGCGUGUUGCAGAUCUACGAGGGUGGCGGCCUGGGGCGAGGGGCAUCGCUCGCCCUUGGAGGAGCGCUGCGAGCGACGGCGCGGGGGCGGCAACAGCGCGUCAGAACCUGACUGUUCGUUAGCUCCUCUCGCUGCUGGGGAAGAAGGAGGGGGAUGGGCCAUGGACGGGGUUCCCUUGAAAACCUCAGCGUCGAGCUCGGGCGGCUACGCGCAGGCAGCACUAGGCUGCUUCACGGGGAGGGGGCGCGGCCAAUCAUUGGCACCCCACUGGUCCAAUGCUGAUGAAGAUGGUGCCAGCGUCGUGUGAGGACAUCUCAUCUCCUCGAGUUCCAUGGCCAGCACAGGUGAGCUGCCGCUACCACAAAACAGAGGUUUCGUGAGAGUCAAAAAACCUUAUGAAAAUAGCUAAAACCAUCAUGAAAAUAAUCCGUGACAUGACACUCUCACGAAAAUCCUCUCACAAAUAUGGUGCCAUGAAAAUACCAUUUUCAUGAGAGUGAACUGUCAUGAUUUUAUAAGCGUCAAUACUCGGUAUAAAUUGACUACUGCUGUGAGUUCCCUUUCAGCUUAUCGUAGGCAUACAUUAUUGCUAGCACGGUAAAGAGAACCAACACGAAUGAUGAAGUAAACGUAGCGGAACUUUUGUAUACCAACACCCUUACGUACCGGUGUCAUUCCCCACUGCCACAUAUAUUCUUAUAUGCUAACCAGCUUUGAAAAUUAAGCGAUUAAAAUAAUUAUUUCAAGAUAGAAAUAACUUAUCGGCUUCUCGAAGCUUGUGUAAUGUGAAUUCAAGGACUCGAUGGAAGUUGAAUCGCUUCAUCUAGAUUGCUUUCAGGAUUUUGGGUAACUAAAUUUAACAUUUGCACACACAAAUGUUAAUGUACAAAUGUUAAAUCUAGUUACCCAAGCAGAAUAUGAAGAUACUCUAUAGUAUAUAUGUACUAUAUAAAUCUAGUAAACAUUUAGUCUAAAUGUUAAAUCUAGUUACCUAAAAUCCUAAAAGCAAAAUGUAUAAAUAUAUAUCUUUUAAGGCAGUAUAAGCUUCAAUUCUCUGUUAAAUCUCAUCUUUCGUUGUGGCCCAACACUCUAGUAUGCAUGUUGCACCAAGCUUCUUUGAGCCGCUCUGCCCUCUGAUUUUGCUGCGUAGGGGAAUCUUUAUCAGGUUGGGCUACUUCCAGUUGUGCGAUGUAAAGCUUCGUAUCUUUUAGAAGGUAGACAAAAUACCCGCGUUCUGGAAGAUUCUGCAACGUGCACGUUGGCGCUGCCACCGUGGUUGCUUAAGCAAAUGCAUCCAACUGAAUCGUCCUUAAGCUGAAUAAUUGGAUAUGGUAUCCACUGCUUAAAGCUGCCAUGUUUAGUACGUCUUUGUUUUUCUCUCUUUAUAUUCCAAUAAGGUCGGUGAUCUUGAUGCCACACACUCAGAUGUGUGUUUAUCUCCAGAUACUACUCCAUGCUACCUACCCUUUGUGUUUUGUUCAAUAACUGGGUAUCAUAUCCUAGCCAGUGUGCCAUCUGUUUUGUGUUUGUUUCCUUCUAGUUCCAAAGGGGUCAUCAUGAUGUUACCUUCUUUUGAGGUGUCUAUGAUGACUUCGUUAAUAUCAAUAUUAACCAAUUCAAUCUGUCUUAACUAUUUGUAAGGGGUAUGAUGUAUGCAUGAUUAUAACAAUGAUUGCGCAUACAAUCGCCGCCAAAGAAACGGUCAAUACCAUUAAGACAUAUUACAGACAAUUCUCAUAAUCUAUAAUGAAUAUACAUAUUCACUACUGCAGAAGACUGUCAUUUGUAUCGGCUCAUACGUGCCAGGGCAAAGGUCACCCUUGCAUUAAGUACAUUUGCACGGUAAAGACAACCAACACGAAUAAUGAAGUAAACAUGCCGGUGCUUUUGUACACCAACACGCUUACUUAAAUGUACUGGUGUCAUUCCUCACCGGUAGCCGGCUUGAAAAUUAACCAAUUAGAACAAUUAUUUAUUGUAUCGGUGUGAUUUUUGACCUAUUGGAAUAUGAAUUUGACCGUUACUGCAUUCGUCAAGACUCAAGAGAGAAAUAACUGAUCGGCUUCUUAGAGCGUGUGCAAUGUGAAAUCAAGGACUGGAUGGAAGUUGAAGCGCUAGCACUAGUAGAGAAACGACUUUCCAUCCACCCCCUUUUGUCCCGGUUUAAAGUUGGCUCGGGAUAAAAGGUUCACCAACCGGGACUAAAACUCAGUCACUGGUGGGAGGCUCACCAACCGGAACCUUUUAUCCCGGUUGCAAAGGCUAAUGGGAAAAAAAGACUCUGAGAGGCCUUUUAUCCCGGUUUGAAACACCAACCGGGAUAAAAGACCCCCCUUUUAUCCCGGUUGGUAACACCAACCGAGAUAAAAGGGUCAAGAGCCUUUUAUCCCGGUUGGAAACACCAACCGGGAUAAAAGACCCCCUUUUAUCCCGGUUGGUGUUUCAAACCGGGAUAAAAGGGCCCCCACGAGGUGACUGGAAGGUGACUGGAAGGGGAUUAAAUCGUGGGGGACCCUUUUAUCCCGGUUGGAAACACCAACCGGGAUAAAAGGGGGUCUUUUAUCCCGGUUGGUGUUUCCAACCGGGAUAAAAGGGUCCCCCACGAGUUAAUACAAAAGGAUAGUAUCCCCUACAUAGUCAGAUGUGGUGUGUAGGUGGGAUGGUAAGGAAGCUACGCGCGAGCUCCGGAAUUUUUUUUUUUUUUUUUUGCAGCGUCGGCGCUCUCUACCCUUUUAUCCCGGUUGGUAUUACCAACCGGGAUAAAAGGGGGUCUUUUGUCCCGGUUGAGUGACCCGGGAUAAAAGACCCCCCCUUUUUUCCCCGGUUAGUUUAUCCCGGAUGCAUUUUCGGGAUAAAAGCACCCUACCAACCGGGAUUAAAGCUCACUUCUCUACCAGUGUAGCUUCAUCUUCCGCUGCAAGUUAAUUGCUUGGAUAAGAAGUUGUAGCCGCUGCAAGUUAUAAAUAGUCCCGCUGAUGCUGUGCUCCGAAGUCUAUACUAUAUAUGCGGAAACUAGAUUGCUUUCAGGAUUUUGGGUAACUAAAUUUAACAUUUGUACAUAAAAAUGUUAGUUUACGAAUGUUAAAUCUAGUUACCCAAGCAGAACAAGAAGAUAGUAUAUAGUAUAUACUAUAUAAAUCAAGUUAACAAUUAGUCUAAAUGUUAUAUCUACUUACCCAAAAUAUUGAAAGCAAAGAAAGAAUAAGUAUAUAUCUUUUGUUGGAAAAUUGGUCCACGGAGAGGCCCAUUUAGGCCUCGUUCGUUUCACCGGGAUGGGAUUCCAGUCAGGAUUACUUCCAAGUUCGGUUUGAGUGAUUCCACCCGUGUCACUCAAUCCGGCUAGGAUUCAUUCUAUGGGUGAGGAGGUAUGGUUUCAAUCCAGGCCAUCUAAUGUAGAAGGAUUCCAAUCCAGGCCGGUUUUCGUUCCAGGCCAGACUAAAACGAACAACACUUUCAAUGCAAGUCUGGUUUCAAACCGGGCCAUUUCAAACCACCCGGAAUGGACCUCGUUCCAGGCCAAUCCGGUGAAAACAAAUGAGGCCUUAAUGGAAUCCCAAAGCAAGAGUUCAGUGGCAUUCUAUAGUCCCAUGCUGCUAGUUUGAGUUGGUCGAAGCCAACUUAAAUAGGAGAGCUCUCUCACUUCUCUAAAUACGUAACUGAAGGAGAGAAGGGGGCUUGGGUUACACAACGCACGCACGCACGCAUAUUUGCGUUCUUUUCGCGUAACCAACCGCGUGACUUGAAACUUGCGACGUAGCGUGCUGCUAAGUCAAGUUGAUAUAACCUUUUUGCCGUUUGCAUGUAAUCUUUUGACAACGGUCAUUGGAGGUGAUAAGCACGCAGUCAAUACCUUAAUCUUGAGUUAAUAGGGUGGUUACUACUGCCAAUUAGUGGGGCAAUUUUGUAGGGGAAACGGUUAGCAGAGGGCUACCGUCUUCUCUAUAAGAAGUUCUGGAGACGUCCAGGAACACACAUGUACAUGUGAGAGACCCACAAAUUCCUUCCCUUCUCCCUUUUCCAUGUGGUGAAGUGUGCUGUGGUACUGAGCUGCUUGAUCUCGCCGCUCUUCUCCUUGGCAUGCACCGAGGAGGAGGGUGAGCGGUAUCUCCGAGCUAUUGCCGUCAGGAAGCCUGCACGAGGGACAACAAAAAGUUUUUGGGUAGCGCAACUGCCAGCACAACUCUCCCUCCGCCUCUUCUUCACGGUUGAUGGCCACCACAAGCAUAAACCUCGCCUUCGCAUCCACGCAAAAGGGUCGCUGGGGUGCCUUCUUGCAUCGCUUCUCAGCCUCCUUGACUUGCGGCCAGCCAAGAACUGCGCCACCACCUCGGGUGCACGCCACCACUCCAGGGCUGCUACCCCAUGCCUGCGGCCGCCGCCGGCCACCACGCGUGUGCAACCGCGUCGCACCGCUUCCUUGCUUUGUGCCACCACUGCUGCUGUACCACCAGCUCCACCACCUUGGGCUGGUCGCCAGAGUGACUGAUAACUUAUUAUCUGUAACUACUAUUAACUCAGGGAUACAUGCGUCUUUUGCUUCUCCUACUAAUAUGUCCUAAAAUAUCUAGGAUGCCUUAUAUUUCUGGACAGAGGAAGUAUUUGAAUAAAAUGAACCAAUUUAAAAAAAUGUGUUGUACACUACUACAGAAAGACCUAUCAGUGUCAAACCCAAAAAUGUUGUCACCGCCAGUUUUGGGCAUCAUUGGUGAAAGGUUGGCGGUGAUGGGCUUUCCCUUCAACAACGGCACUGGAGCCGACGGUGAUUGACAUUAGAAAACAAAAAAGGGGACCCUACCUAGCCACCCCUGCAACCCGGCCGGCCGUGCCUCCCCUCAUCCCCACCACCUCGCCUCCCCAUGACCCCCCGCCGGCGCCCUUGCGCCUAGCCCCCUCAACUGCCCAGCCGGCCACCCUCAUCACGAGAGAGAGGUGCAUGUUGUAUAAUUGCGUGAAUUUUUUAAUGUUUAAUUUCAUGUAAGUUCCGUGUAAUAAAUUGUACAAGUUUUAUUGUAUAUAUGAAUUCCAUAUAUAUAUAUAUAUAUUUAUAAUUUAAUGUAUGGUUUCAUGUGUAUAUUUCAAUCAUGUGUAUAUUUAGUAGAUUGCCGAUUUUCUUUUUCUACUAGACAAGGGUUGAUGUAUAAUUACGUGUAUAUGUUUAUUGUACGGGCAAUUAGGACAAGUUUUGUAUAAAUUUCUUUUAUUUGAUGGUUGUUGUAUGGUUUCAUGUAUAUACAUUUAUUGUACUACUUUAGACAAUUUUUAAUUUAAUGUUUCUAUGAUUAGAUGUGUGUAUAACUAAUUGUAUUAUUAGUUAAGAUGGGAGCUAAAGAGGAUGAAAGGUAUAUAAUGGAGCAGAUUAUUGCUAGCUCAAACGUUGCAAGAACCUACACCGAGGGUGAGGGUAGCUAGGUGGACAUGUACCUCAACAUGUCCAGUGAUGGCAAUGACGAUGAGGAGCACGAGCAUGACAUCUAUGAUAAUGCGGAACAAGACAUUGCAGAAUUGGAAGGUUCUAAUGAGGUGUGCUUCAUGUUGACAAUCUAGUUGGCUUUUUUUCGUUGGUCACACCUUAGUUACCAUAGAACUUCGUCUCGGGAGAAGAUUGGUGGUGGUAUGGUGAUUGGAAUUUUAUUUCCACGAAAUCUGAUUUCCAUCGAAUCAUAUCCCUUGUAUUUAUCUUCUUUUUAUUUGUGAGAGCAUCUUCUUUAUGCUUGCAAAACAAUUCAAGUGCACAUACUACCCCUAGGGUGACGAUUGGGAGUAGAAAUAAUUGCCAACAAAACAACACCACAUCCUAAGAUUCUUAACUUGUGGCAUAAUUAGUCUAGUAAAAAGAAAGAUAAAAACCUAAUGGGUGUAUGUGAGUGCAAUGUGUAUAUGCAUAUGAGUGGAAGGCAUAUAAGCAAAGACAAUAUUUACACAUAGUUCUAAACACCAUGUUUACAGCUAGGUUGCUGAAUUUCUCCAUAGCCAUAGAGAUUAAUUAACCAAGGUCAAAACACGAUGUCUAUCCCAAGAUCAGUAAUUAUUUAUAGCACAAGAAAAAGAAAGCGCAUUGCAAAGUUUAUAAACCAACCAAUACAGCAUGAAAACAAGAUGAAUAGCUAGCAAGGUUUAUUAAACUGAAUGAUGACGGUCUGUAAGCAAGUUUAAACACCAUCUUUACACAAGAUUGCAAAUGGAAAAUGCCCAUAUGAAGCACUAACAUGGAUAUGAAAUCAUUCAUCAUAAAGCGUAAAGAACAACCAAGCCAACCAUAUGCAAAGCAUGAAUGGAAUGCAAUGAAGGUGCAAGAGAACAUUUUUGGAUGAACACAUUAUGAUGAUGGCAAAAUGCAAUGCAUGCAGAAAAAAUAAAUAUGAACAUGAAUAUGAUGAUCAGGGGCGGACCCACUAUUGUGGCCUGGGUAUUCCUCGGCAUACCCAAUAUUUUUGGGAAAAUGUUUAGUAGUUUUUAAUGGCAUAUACAUGUAUAAUAUAGUUUAGGUGUUAAAAUUGAUAUUCACAGCUAUUUUGGGCUCCAAUUCGCGUCCAAACCAACCUGGCCCACAGACCGCACCCGGCCGCCCGGCCCAUCGGCCCAUCUUGUCACUGAUCCUCCCACCACCACACUCAGCCCGUCAGUUAGUCAGGUCCCGAGCUCCUGCCUGACCUAGUCCGCUACCACCGCCAGGCGCCAGGCACAGCUGUACACGCCGCCCCCGUCCACCCACGUCCGCCGCACGGCCGCGUCGCGCCCCCCCCCGGCGCCCGCUGCUGCCAGAACCCAUUAGGCCUCCACCGGCAAGUCCACCCACAGUCCCGCGCGACGCGGCAGCCUCUUGGCUCUCGGCGCUCGCGGCGCGCCAAUGCCUGCGCAGCCCCAGCAGGCGACUGCCCCCCCCCCCCCCGCAUCGGGCCUCGGCCCCUCCCCAGCUCCCCCUCCCCCCUCCACCAGGACUGCCUGCUGGCCCCCACCGCGAGGUAAUCGAAAUGGACUGCUCAAUCUCUCAAUCUGUUGACAUGAUGCACACGGUUGCAAAAAUAGAUGUGUCAAAAUAGAUGUAUUGCCAAUUGCUAUAGAUGCAUAUGGUUGACAUGAAGAAGUCAAAAAUGACAUUUGGUUCCUUGUAGGCAGUCAAAAAUGAAGAAGUCAAACAAUAUUGAUCUGAAAUCAAUGCGGGAAAGGGCUACGAAGACACACGGGUAGAUUCCCUUGUGAACUUUUUAUGUCGUUCGUCUAAAUAUAUUUUUGCAAUGGGCAUACCCUACUCUGAAAUCCUGGGUCCGCCACUGAUGAUGAUGGUCUAAACAUAAAACAAGCCUAGAUUAAUUAGCUACAACUGAAAUUAAGCAAAGGUUAAUGUCAUUGACCCUAGCUCUAUCCUAGCUUUUACUAAAGUCCCGGCACAUAUAGUGGUUGGGCCCACUCUCUCUACUUCCCUCUCUGCUGCAUGCACACACACGAGCAACUGGAGGCCCAACAAAGCCCAGAAGGGUUCGGCCGAACCCGUCCGAUCCAGUCUGAGCGCCGCUCCCUCCCAGCCUUCGCGCAGAUGCUCCUCCAACGUUCCUUGACCCCUCCCUCAGUGUCCCAUUGGGUUUAACAUUGUAGGAGAGGAGUCCCUUUUUUAAAAUCUCAACCACCUCCUCUCCUCAUUCACUCCACUCUCAUCUCCAUCAAACUCACCAAGAUCCACAUCGGAAAUACCUGCUUACCACCAUGGCUGGCAAAGCCCUCGUCCCUUUCACCAACUUGGGCUUGACCAUUGAUCUCGAUGGGAAAAUCACUCCAGCAAAUGUCAUUGUCCCUGUCGGCGAUCUGGCGAUGGAGGAGGUCCAGGCACUAGAGGUCGAGCCCCUAGCCAUCAUACCGCCCAAGGGGUAAAGCAGGAGCAUGACAGGCGCUGCUAGGGGUUCAGCCGAACUCCCAGUUCAGCCAAACGAGGACGGCGUCGCCUCGGCCUCCCGCUCGACUGCAUGCUUCCCCUUGCCAAGGAGGACUCCAGAACAGCGGGCGCGUGCGUCAAGUCCCUACAAAAGGCUGAAAUACAAUGAAUAUCCAGGGUCACCCUUGAAGAUGGGUGAACGCUACGCCGGGUCCUUGUUUGACUAGUACGGCGAUGCAUUCUGCCACCGCUAUGUCGUUGUCGAGAUUAGCGGAUCAAGACUUAGACUAGUAAAUUUCUUUUAUGCGCGUAAGGCUUCAGAUGGUGGCGUGGGAGACAUGGGUUUUAUACUAGUUCGGGCAAUGGAAUACCCUACGUCCAGUGUCUGGAGCUGCUUGUGUUGCCCACGCGGGGUUCUGUAGUAGGGGUUACAGGUGUGCGAGAGAGGGAGCUAAUCCCAGGUCUCUUAGGCGUGUUCCGGUCCUCUAGAUGGGAGAAGUGUGUUCUGUUUGCUUGGGAGUAUCGGUUGUGUCUGAGUUGUCUCCGGAGCCUCCUCCCGUCUCAGGUCCCCGAUUCUCCUUUCAUAGCACAAGGAGACCAUCGGGGUUACAGACGAGACCGAGCGUGGGGAGGAGUAAAGAGAUAAACAUAGCUAGGUAAAAAUACAACAAGAAAGGGGGGAACCAAGUUUCUAGGUCACCGGCGUCCUCGCCGGCCUUCGACUUCCGCCGGCGCAUUUGUCGGAGGAGGGUGGCCGCCAUCGCGUUCUGUCGAUGGCUUCCUCGGUGACUGUAGCCACCGGGCGUGAUGAUGGCAUUUCGUCGUGACCCUUUGUCUGUUGGGGGAGGCGGCGGAUCCUGCCAUUCUGCUGACGGCUCGCGGAGUGCGAACGUCGCAUCCCUGCCGCUGGGCACGCGGGGCGCGAGAACGUGCGAGGCUUCCCCCUACCCCAGGCGGCGCAGGCCAUGAGUGCCCUGUGGCAAAUCGGAGGAGGCCGCAGCUACUGUAGCUUGUACUGUGCAGCCACGUAUGGGUACUUGUGGCAGGUUGCGUGGUGGAUGCGGAUAUCCUUCUCCCUGACAGAUCUGCGGCGCAUUUAUGGCGAGAUCGACAUGGGGACCCACAAGACCCGCGCCCAAGGCGGAUACUUGUCUGGAGGGCCCGGGUUAGCCUGACCCCCUACGCUUGGGGUCGGGCGAGGCGGAGACUUGCGGCGGGGCGUCGGACGCUCCCGACACUAGACCUGCGGUCGCGCAAGGCGGAGCUUGGUCUUCCGGGGGUCGGGGGUGCCGGACCCCAGGAUGCGGGGUCGGGCGAGGUGGAGCGUAAUUCUUGCCUCCCAUGUUGGGCCGAUGGCAGUCUUUGUUACCUCUAGUGGGCUUGGGCCUUUAUGUUUUGUUGUUUCCAUGGGCUUCGAGAGGUCGUUAAUAUUUCCCCCCAACAGUAGCCCCCGAGCCUGUGGUGGAGUGGGGGCGCUCCUCCGGAGGCUACUAUCAUCGCCCCUAGGGAAUCCUCGCAGUUGAUCCGGGAUAGGAGGUGUUGUUUGCACGGCUUGACCGAGGGGGUCGAUUAGGCGACGCAUCCUGUGAGCGACUCGGUGCGGGAGGGUUUCUUGUUGUUCCCUUCUGUCUGAGAGCCUUAAGUCGAGACCACCUGCGUGGCCUUUGGUUGCAAGGCCAGCCCCCGAGCCCCCGCACGUUGCAGGGGACCGGUCGGAGGCUAGGUCGACUUUUGUUCAUUACCCUCAAGCGUCUGUUCGCUAGGACGGAGGGGGCGAGCCGUGCCAUGCUAUCCUCAUCGGACGAACCAUGGUGCUCAUUGAGUUACUAACGGGUUGAUUCGAGUGGGAUCCCGGUCCCCGUUCGGGGGGGGUCCGGCUUGGGCCAAGCUGGUGGCGUACCCCAGGCUCCGGUCGGCCAGUUCAUAUAGUUCCUGAGUCCGUUCGGUCGGACCGGGGGCUCAUUGCCUUUCUUCGGGGAAAAACCAUGAACUUUGAUGCCGGUCCAGACUCGAAUGUGAGAUUGAGACGCCCGGGGCUGUCGCGUGCCCGGGUGAUGGCCGCUAGCGGACCCGUCUCCUCUCACCCCUCACUCGGGGGUAUCCUGAGGCGGCUGUCGAACCCGUGGCGGGCCAGCCUUCGAACCUCUGGAUCGUAAUGGGCCGUAGGGGCGUUUUCAGCCCCGUAUCCCUUUUUACCUUUUGGUGGGCCUUGGGCCGAAUCAUGGAGGAGGUCGGGCCUUGGGCCGGAUGCGGAGGAUGUCGUGCCUUGGGCCGGAUGUGGGGGACGUCGUGCGUGUCUUCCGGGAGACGAAGUGGUGGAGGGUGCCAACCCGCGAAUCGAGGGAGGAGGGGAUGUUUCUACUGCAGGUCAUGCGCACGGUUUCCGAAAAGGCAGCGGGCGUGACGGGACGUACCUCGCGCCGCAUUUAUUGCGAUGGGGGCGUCUGUUCUGCUUCCCUCGUGCCUUCCCUAUAAAACGAGGACUUCGCCUCGCCGGUUCCGCCCGCCAUCUACCUUCAAGCCUUUUCGCCUCCUCGCGCGCCCUUAGCUUUCCUGUGCCCGCUUCGUCUUCCUCCGCCCAGUGCCGCGCCCUUUCUCCCCAUCCGCCGUCGAGUUCUUCUCCCUCCGGCGAUGGGAUCCUGGGCGCGUUCCCACUUCGGCCCCUCACGCGCCGAAGGCCUAGUGAGGAAAGGCCUCCUUUGCGAGAGGACGGAGACGGAUGAGUGGGGGUUCCCUGAGAUGGAAGAGGUGCCGACUCCGCCCACCGGCUACGUCGUUUCCUUUGCCCACUUCCACGAGAGGGGGUUUGCGACUCCGCCGAGCCUCUUCUUCCGCGGGCUUUUGUAUUACUACGGGCUUGAGCUGCAGCACCUCAACCCCAACGGGAUUCAGCACGUCGCGGCGUUCGUUGCGGUGUGCGAGGGGUUCCUGGGCAUUGAGCCCAACUUCUCGCUGUGGAAGUACUUCUUCACGGUCAGCCUAUACCAGAAGGCCGAGAAGAGGGGAAGCCAGCAGCGGUCGACCCCGGUGCCGAUAGGGUGCGUCGGAAUCCACCUCUGCCAUACUCGCGCCAAGGAGUAUAUCGCGAUGAAGACCGCGGCAUCCCACAAGGGGUGGCACCAGCAAUGGUUCUACGUGAAGAACUACUCCAACCCCCCCUGCCGGAGUUCACCGGCCGCAUUAUUGAAGCGGCGCCGGAGGUGUGGGUGUACGGCCCGGUGGAGAAGGAGAAGAAGCGGAUCACCGGCCUGCUGCAGGCCAUCGAGCACCUGAAGGAGAGGGGACUGACCGGAGCCGGAGUCAUCGGGGCGUACCACGCCCGGCGGGUGGCGCCGCUGAUGCUCCGGGUCCGCUCGCUCGCCGACAUGACCCCCGGUGCUCUCACCGAUGGCACUGUCCUCGCGACGGGUGCUCUCGCUGCCUCCGAGAUCCGGCAGCGGAUCCGGGAGGCGCUGGAGGACAAGGACGCCGAUUACCCGGUGCCCGGCCACCCUCCGAUGCGCCCGGACGAGAAUUUCAUUGAUCUGGUAAGGAUUUUGCGCGCCAGUUUCCCUCUCUUGCGUUUCUUGGUAUGCCGUUCUGACGCGAGGCCCUCUGUGUUUGCAGGGUAGCAUGACCCGGGUCGUCGACUUGCGUCCGCCAGUGUCGGAGGACGCCGAGUGGCGGUAGCAGAACCGUCUCCUUGCCGAGAAGCAAAAGUGACGCAAGGACAAGAGACAGCGAAGAAGAAGAAGAGGGCCGCCAAGGAGUUCCAGCGGCGGCGGUGGGGAUAGGUCGUGUCGGAUGACGAUGACGAUGAGAAGGAGGAGGAGGAUGACGAGGAGGAGGAGGAGUUUAUCCUGUCCCCCCGGUCAGGGGCGCUUGUUAUCCGGGAGCCGCGCUCCCAAGCGGCCAUGGGGGACAAGGCGGGCGAGCUGCCUGCCCGGACCCGAUCCUGCGAAGCUUUGGGGGCGCGCCCCAGGGGUCGGCGCAGAGCGCCCCCCGGGGGUCGACGGAGCCGACCCCCAUCCCUACACCUGCAGCCCAGGAGCAGAGGAGCAGCGACAAGCGGCCGUUGCCAGAUGCCCCGGGGUCGGCGUCCAGCUCAGAGGCGAAGCGCGCGCGCCGCCCUUGCGCUGGGGGAACGUGAGUUGAAUUUCCUUGCGAAUCUCGUUCCUUUCCAUGCAUUGUGUUUGUUUCCGCUGAUGCUGUUUGUUGUCUCACAGCACCGCCCCUCAAGGCCUUGUCCCGCCGUUGGCGCCAAAGAAGGCGUUGCGGUGUUGUCGCCUCUGCGGGGCGGACCGCGGCUCCGCCGGCGGCGAGUGGCGGGGUCACUGGUGAGACCGCGGGUCCUACCGCGGAGGUGGCCCCUGCGGCGGCAACCGGUGGAGUGGUGCCACCGCCGGGCAUGGGACAGGGUCUGGACCCCGCUCCGUCCUCCGCCUCUUCGGCCGACCCCGCGGUGCAGAGUAUCGCUCCUGGGGGCCCUCAGGCCGGGGAGGUGAUUGACCUCGACGCCGACGAGGUGGAGGAGACGGCGGCGGUGGAGACGGGGGCGGUUGCCCCAGCGGCCAUGACGGGGACGACGACGGCGACGGGGGAAGGAGAGUCUACCCCCGCGGCCACGGCGGGGACAGUGGCGACAGAGGAGGCGGGGACGCCCGCCCCGGCGGCUGCGACGGAGGAGGCGGCGGUGACGGAGACGGGGGCUUCCGCCCGGGAAGCCACAGCCGAGGUGGCAGCGGCGACGGAGGUGAAAGUGCCUGUUCUGGAGGCCACGGUGGGGGUGGGGACGCCUGCCUCGUGGCCACGACGGAGGGCGAGGCGGCCCCAGGGACACUUGCUCCGGCACCCGCGUUGGAGGCGGUGGCGCCGACGGGUUGGCCCGUGGCGGCCUCGACGGGGGCGGGGGUGCGUGCGCCGGGACCGUCGGUGAGGCCGGCGACUUCCGGGAUGGUGGUGCCCGUCUUGACGGCGGCGGCGGCGCGGUCGGCCCCCGCCCUUGCCUCUACCACUCCCAUUCCCAAGGCGUGGAGCGGAUCCGUCCUGCGUUGGUCGUCUCGUGACGACCCGCAGAGGCCCCUCUUCACGUUGGAUGAUGCCACAGAAUGGGGCAAGUGGCAGGCGCUGCAGGGCGGACUCGCUAACGUCCGCGCCGCUCUAUCUUCGGCGUUGGGGGAGCUGGACGGCGUCAUCUUCCCCGGUGGCCGGGUAUGGUGCUUUCUCCGUUGGUUAUUUUCUUCCCGUUACUUCGUCCCUGAUGGCACAUUGUUCUGCAGGCCCUCCAAGAAUGUAGCCGGGGAAAAUCUGAUUUCCUUUGGCUCGAGCAGGGGCUCUGGGAGCGCUUCAACUUGGAGUUGCAGCGGACCGGGGAGCUGACCAUGCAAGUCGCCACCGUCUAGCAUGUCAUCGACGAUCUGCGAAGGCACGAGCAGGCGGCACAGGAGGACGCGCGGCGGGCGGAGGCCAAGUUCCAGGUCGUUGCCGAAAGGGCUCGCUGCGACCGCGAGGAGUUCCAGGCCGUUGCCGAAAAGGCCCGCCACGACGCUGAGGAGCUCGCACGGCUGAAGGUGCAGCAUGAAGCUCUUCAGAAGAGCGGCAGAGGGCCUGGCAGGACCGGGACGCCGAGAAGGUCCGGAAGGAGGAGGCUGAGAAGGUGGCGGCCAACCUUGGGGCUGAGGUCAGCCAGCUCCAAGUGCAAGCGCGAGAGCUUCAGGCCUCCGUGGCCCAGGGGCUCGACCAGGAGCGCCAGCUGAAGGCCUAAUCCGAGGGUAUGACUCUGUUUAUUUCUUUGUCUUUGUGAUGUUGCGGUGAUAUUUUAUUUGGCGGGUUCUUCUGGAUGAUCCUUGCAGAUGAGCUCAACUGGCUGAGGGAGGUGCUUGACGCGGAGCGCGCUGAGCACGGCGACCUGCGGGACGCGGUCCGCGUCAUCUGUGACUUCCUUAGUGUGGUCCAGGGGGAGGGGACGAGCUCGCUGGCGGCUCGUGUCCUCGGGACGUACCGCCGGACCAGCGAGAUCGCCCUGGAAGCGCUUCGCACCGGCUUGAGGCAAGCCUUUGGGGUCUUCGGCUCCCACUAUUCCGGCAUCAACUUCGCCGGGAUGAGCGGGGGAUACGCCACCGGCUACUACGAGGCCGAGCUGGAUGAGAUCGACGUGUCGGUGCUCAGCCCGGCGGAGGCCUUGGUGAAGCUCCUCGAGGAUGAGGCCGUCCCGCCCGAAGAUCCCCGGACGAGUUAACUAUAUCGGGCUGGCGCCCCAGAUGUAAAUACGUUAGGGAAAGACUUGUUUUUUGUGAGGGCCGUAGAGGCCUUUUCUAUGAAUUGUCGUAAAAAAGUUUUUGAUUCCCUUUCUUGCUUUUUGGACUUGGAAAGUUUAGAGCACGUUGUCGGGCGUGUCAGUAAGCUUUGAUGAGCGAAGGCACCGUAGCCGCUGGGGCGUCGUUUUUUUUGCAGUCCGAUCAAUCUUGCCUGAACACCGUUCGUGCACUUUCUCCUUUUUAUGCCCAAAAGUUCAGAAAGAGGGUCGGCUCGGAAAGAGAAAGCGUUUUGAGAGGGUGUCAAGUGGCUUAGGUACUUGCGGCAGGUUGCGUGGUGGACGCGGAUAUCCUUCUCCCUGACAGAUCUGCGGCGCAUUUAUGGUGAGAUCAACAUGGGGACCCACAAGACCCGCGCCCAAGGCGGAUACUUGUCUGGAGGGCCCGGGUUAGCCCGACCCCCUACGCUUGGGGUCAGGCGAGGCGGAGACUUGCGGCGGGGGGUUGGACGCUCCUGACCCUAGACCUGCGGUCGGGCGAGGCGGAGCUUGGUCUUCCAGGGGUCGGGGGCGCCUUACCCCGGGAUGCGGGGUCGGGCGAGGCGGAGCGUAAUUCUUGCCUCCCAUGUUGGGCCGACGGCAAUCUUUGUUACCUUGGGUGGGCCUGGGCCUUUAUGUUUUGUUGUUUCCAUGGGCUUCGAGAGGUCGUUAAUAUUUCCCCCCAACACUAUGAGGAGGACUUGUGGGCAGAAAGUCAGCUACCACAAACUUGCCUCUGAAUAUUUGGAGUGCAAACAUUGGAUGGUGGUUGUGGAGAGCCCCAGCCAUACCUCGCACCCGUGGAGAGGUAAUUGUCGGAUUGCUUGGUUCGUCUCUAGAAUGCGACAAGGUCAGGCGCCACCUCUCACUGCUGCCAGUCAGAAGGCCGAGGGGCCAGUUUCAACAUAGUAAUGAGAAUCUCCGAAGGCCAAUAUGGUUAAGCAGCUAACCUCCAUGAUCAUAGACUUACGUUUAGAAAAUAGGAGGCUUAGCGAUGCGUUAACAGAGCAGAAGUUAGAAACAGAAGAACUUAAGGACGACUUCCGUGUCCUCCGCCUUGGUCUUUGUGCUAAGAUAAAGCGCUUGUACAAUGCCACGGGGAAUGACGGUCUCUACGAUGCAGCUCAAUAGACGUGCCCCUUGUAUCCUUUCCUUUAGGCACUUUAGAAUAUGUUUAUUUGUUUUCCUUCAUUUUAAUUUCCAAUAGAUUGUUAGCGCCUCCAAUUUAAUUUCAAUAAAGUGUAGACUCACCGGUCAUCCAACUUGAUGGAGUCCUUUUGUCACCUAGUUGUCUUUGGAAGAAGUAGCUGGGUACAAAAUAAGUGUGGGGGAGAGCCACAGACUCUCUAGAGCUGAAACAAUGCACAACACCCACAAAUAGAGAAAACCACGCUGCACCAGCACGUACGUGAAAGUGGAGCCAGAGCUGGACCCAUAGGGGUUUGGCCAACCCAAGGGGUGGCCCACUCGGGCCAUCUUCAUCCACCGCGUCGGUUUGUGUCUCUUUACCCCUGAUCUCCCUGAUUCAUGAGUUUGAAUGAAUUUUAAAUCUGAUCAACUAAUUCAAACUCAACUAAAAUGAAUCAACUGCUCCACCUGCUCUACAUGUUUUCUAUGGUUGGCUUGCAUAUGUUUUAUUUCAUGCUUAUCAUCUUGAUGCUUGUGAACAAAUAUCUUUAGGACAGCAUGCUCAUCUAAGUAGUUGAUGUGUAUGAUAUGGUUCGAUGAUAUGAUCUUCACUCUUAAUGCUUAAGUGCUUGGGAAAAUCUAUUUGAAAAUUUAAAAGCCUUUUUGAAAUCUCCUCUUUGAUGUGCCAAAGUCCUACCAAAGCCAUAUGAUAAGUUAUCUUGAAAAACCAUUUGCAUAUGUUGCUUGUCUUUGCAUUGAGCUUUGUCAAAUUGGUGUGACCCUUGUCACAAUUCUUUUCAUACUUUCAUGAUCAAGACUCAUGUGCACGCCAUAUACCCCUUGCUAUGCUUCUAUGAGAUGUUAGCAUUGUACCAUCCAUUCAUUCCACAAAAUAAAUGCUCCACCAUAUGUGUUGGUCUCCUUCUAAGAUUAUUGUUACAAAAGAGAUAUGGGCUAUCAAAAAAAAAUAUGAAUGUCCAAGAAAGUUGGACACAUGAAUGUCCAAUAAAAAGAAAAAGAAAGAUAGCCAUGUCCUCAGAAAUAUUUACAAAGGGAGAGAGAUCAUACAAAAAGGAGUUUCCAUUCCAUCCACCACAUCCAUACAUGUGCACAUCUUGAUCUGAUUGUAUGACUUAUUUUUCUCUUUGGAUCUGGUCUUUGACUUUGCAAUAUAUGUGAUGCAAGCAUGCCUUAUCCUUCAUAGCCUACCUUGAGCUCCACAUAUAGCCAUCAUUAGAAGUAGGAUGAAGAAAGGCAAGUCUAAUGCCUUGGUGAGGACAUAUACACAUUGAGUGAUCUGAGAGAAUCAAAUGAGGAGCUAAGCAAGGUUUUGUUUUGAAAACUAAUUGAAAAAUCCCAAGCUACUUGGCAUAAGGAGUUGAGGUGACUUGAUUCAAGACCAUUACAUUCCUCAACUACCCAAGAUGGCAUGAUAGACACUCCAAAGUUCACAAGUGCAGGUAUGGUUUGGAAUAUCUUUUAGGCUCGCUUCAUACCUUUGAAAGUUAUGUUUCACCUUAGUCCUUUCUCGUUCACUCAAGGAUAAGCAAAGGCUAAGUGUGGGGGUGUUGUUGAUGGCUCUUAAGUACAAAAUCUGCGCCAUCAACUCUUGCAUAAACACAUAAAAUAUGAGCAUCAACAAUAGUGGUAGGAGUUAUUACAAACGAAUUCCACAAGUCUUGGUGAAUAUUUGUAUGCAAGCCCAAUAGGAGAGAAAAGACACCUCAAAAGCAAGGAAACACACUCUCAACCAAUCAAGAGCAAGCACAUGGAACCAUGGGCCCACAACCAAAAGGAAAUCGACUACAUUCCAAACACCCUAUACCCACAUGAGAACCCAUAGGGCAGUGACCCAGAGCAAAGGUGAUGCCAGAGUGUAGAUGGUAGUUAGCAUGCCAAAUUUUGAACCGCAAGCGCUCGGAUUAGUUGUUUCUUUUCCCUUAGAGAUUCCCCCAAGGUUUAUCAAUCCAUGGAACAAGGGAUUUGCACGUUUCACUAAGCACUAAUCAAUGUAAUUGAAAGCUUUUCGAAUAAGAUAUGAUUAUGCUAACAAAGGAACUAAGCAAUCUAGAUUAAGAUGGAUAGAGAGUACAGGUUGUGAACAAGAUAGAUUAAACGCUUGUAGAUGCAAUCACCAUGCAUGAAUGAAUUAGAUCUAGGUGUUAUUGUGAGUGGUUGUGAACCAUGCCCAACACUUUCCCACCCGCAACAUUGUCACUACAUGUGGGUACUCAACUAUCGGAACAUAAGAACACAUCAAGAUGAUCAUUCUAGGUAAGCAAAUAAGCAACCCAAAGUAGCGCUGGCCAGCCUUUUCAUGAAAGAGCAUCAUCAAGAUAAGAUUGAUAACAAAAUAGAUCUCAACCAAAGGUUCAGCGAUUACAAAUCAAGAUCUUCGUAUAACCCCGAUGACAAAUAGAGGUAUUACCCCCAUGAUCUUACACAUGUUGAUGAAUUUUAGGGUAAAGGACACCCUGUAGAUCAACUGGACCAAAGAUGAUGAUGAACGGGGGCAGGGAAGGCCCAGGUUGAUCAGCCUGCGCACUUUUGAGCCGAUCAGCUCAGGGGGUUUCCUCCUCCCCUGGUGCUCCUCUUCGCGUGGCCUCCUCUGGAUCCAAUCUUCUCUUCAUUUCUCCUACUUGUGGCGGCAAUGGAUGGUGUUUGCAUGGUGAUUUCCUCUUCUCCCCAACUCUCCCUCCUUGAAGUCCAUGAGGGGGUAUUAAUAGUCUCCAAUAGGCGGCAGCUCUGGGUCAAUGUCAGUGAAAAAAUCCUAGAGAUCAUCGUACACUUCAUGCUGAGGAAACAAGAGGUUGACCGAGCCCUGGGAUAGACCAAGAGGAUCAUCCUAGAGGGUCCCAGGCUAAUCGGUCUAGGCCCUUCCUAGCCCUUCUAGUCCUCUCCUUCCUCGUGCUGGCUUUUCUCGAUGACCCUUGUCCAAAUAUCCAUGAAGCUCUAUAUACAUACCCCCUUGAUUAUGUUGUAUUUCCUGUCAAAAUACAAUGCUCCAAAAUACAACACAUAUGCAAUAAUAGGGUUAUUUCAGGUGCCAAUUGGUGGGUUAGUAUACGAAUAAGCAUGAAAAUACUGUUUAAAUGACACUAAAAGUGUGUCAAUAACGAGCACCAACAAUCCCCCCACGCUUAGAUCUUGCUCGUCCUCGAGCAAGUCUAGCGACUAAAAGAUCUUGAAUUAAACCUGAGCAAGCGAGUCAAGUACCUAGCCUUGAAACAAAAGAUUAGAGGAGCAGCAAAGAUAAUCAAAGUCUGGGUGUUCAAAGAUUUAUCUAAGCAAAGAUUCCCCUACAACUAUUAUUCAGAACCAAGUAACUUCAAAAAUCAACUACACUUAUUUUCUGGCUUUUUUCAGAGGGUUUUUCUUUCAUCAUAAAACAAUCUCCCUGCAACAAAAUUGAAAAAAGAAUUAUUUUCAAGGUGCUUACAUGUCGCUUAAAUGAAUGUUGGCUAUCCUACUUAUUUGCAAGCUCUCAUCUCUCAAAAUUCAUUCAAUUAUAUGGUGGAGUUUGGGUAAGGUUAGCUAGAAUCAACACGUAUAUUAUUGAAUUAAGAAAACCCUCUAACGGUGGCCUACCUUCCGAGCCAUUGAUCAUAAGAAUAUCCACAUAAUGUGAAGUUUUCAAGGAUGAGAAGAUAUAGAAUGGUGGACAUGUGCAAAGGCAAAGAAAUAUAGUGACUCUGAGGCACAAGCAAUGUCCUCGUCGUUGGAUUGCAUAUGGUUGUAAUGAAAAUAUGUUCCUUAAACAAGUCUAUCUUUUCUUUGCACCACUCUUGAUCUUCAUGACAGUAAAAACUCCUCCUUUAUUUCUUUCUCUCUUUUCCUAUUAUUUCUUUUUAUUUGUCUCAAUACUUUUAUUUCUUUAUUUCUUUAUUUUAAUCUCUUCUCUGAACCUCUUCUGAACACCACAUAAUAAAAAUAAGUUUUAGAUCCUUCCAGAGACCUUCCAGGAAUUUGCUACAUGAAAACCGAGGCAAGGAGACCCCAGGCCGAUUGGCCUAGCCACUCCUUUGCUCUCCUCUAGCUCUUCUUUCUGGUGAAGCUUCCUUAUCUUGUAUCUUUCCAAAAAUUUCAUAAAGCUCGACUAGAAACGGAACAGAUCUUCAUAUAAUGAGUUGUGUUCAAGGAAUUGGUAAUAAAAUUGAGAAAUUUGUGGUUCGGGUUUACGAAUUCAGUACAAAAAUAUGAUUGUUCCAAUGAAGAACUCUCAUUACUGAAUAUUGACGAGGCAAGCAUUCAAAGAUGGUAAAAAGGAUAUGAUCAAUUCUCAAAAUUAAAGCAAACCAAGAGAGAGCGAUCCUAAUUCAAUUCAAAGUGUCAAAUGUUGCUUAUGGUGGUAUGAAUAAAUAUUUUUAGGCAUUGGGUAGGAUAAAUAAAAACUCUCAACCUGGUUAAAAGAUAUUGAUCAAUCUUGUUUUUGCAGAGGUUUUAAAUAAAAAAUAAAAUUUUAAAUCACCUCCAAUUCAAAGCCUUACUCAUAAAUCAUAAUCAAAACUGAAGCACUUGAUCAUCAUAAAGCAUGGGUAUUGCAUAAACAAAUCGAUUACUAAAACUCCACAACUACGAUUUAGAAUUCAAGACAAUGCUCAUAAUCUAAAGUUGCAAAGAUAAAAUAAAAGACAACCAAGCCAAGGUAGACACUAAAAACACUUGCACGAUCCUUGAAUUUUAUUCAUGCUUCUUCUCACAAAGACGCUAAAGUAGCCAUGUAGGCCUAAGUCUUCCCAAAAGCUUAAGAAAACUACUACUUUAUCUACUUUUGGUUGAAAUAAAAAGACUAAUCUAGACUCUCACAUGAUUCGACUCGACCAAAUUAGAUCCAAAAACUCAUACGAGCGACGAUCUCCCCCCCCUCACGCUUAAAAUCUACGACCUCCUCGUCGUAGCCAUAUGGAGUACAAGGAAAAGAAGCUUGUAAACGCUCUAAUGACGCUACCCGCACUACUUGCACACGGGAUGGUUGCUGCUUCCUUCGCUUUGUUCUUCCUCAUGUUGCUGCACAUCCCGAAGAGCUUCCUCACGUUCCUCUGCAAGAACUUGAACUCGUCCUCCUGACGGCGAUCAUUAUCUUCUGCCUUUUGAUCCAGAGCUUGUAAGGCUUGCAUGAUGUCAUCGAACGCAUCGAAGAGGUAGUGGAUGUUCUUCCUGCAAGCUGUGGAACAUGUACGAUCAUGCUCCUCCGAUUCUGGCCCGUCGUCUUCUAGAUCCUUCUCUUUGCCCUUGUCUUGACGGUGGCUAUCUUGCUCCUUGCUCGCCUUCUUGCCUUCAGCCCAAUCCCAGUACGUGUUGUCAUCUUCUUCAUCGUCACGGCCUGCAGCACCCUAUGAUCCAUUGUCUAUCUUGUAUGAAAGAAUCAGAAGCUUGUUCUCCUCAGGGUGUCUUGCGCGGUGCAGCGUUUGCAAGUGCAAGACUUGCUAGUUCCUUUUACACAUUGUAAUGUUCAUUGCAUGCUCUAAUUGUUCUACAUUUGUAAUUUCUUGGUGAAGUUUGGUUACUGAUCCACUGUUUGAUUAACUCUUGGGCCCAAACACUGUACUACUUCUGAUUAGAUAUCUGUAUCUUGACUUUGACCAAAAAAAAUAUCCGGCAGUUUUUGCCAUUAAAGUUUCAUAAAUCAUCUUGCAAAAAUCGUACUAUACAACAAGGGACGGUUUAUUAUAAAAUAUACGUUCCCCUUAUCACAUGCCACUUCCACUCAAAAGGCAACGAAUCAGUUUUCAAUCCUGAGUGAGCAAUUUGCUUUUAUUACCGAUGCCUCCUAUUCCCUUGUGCACCAAGUUUAUUUUGGAUAGGGCUGCAAAAAACGACUAACCAGCUCGGAUUCUCCACCUGCAAAACCGCAUCUGCAGCAACCAACCCCACGCGGUGGAAAAAAAAACAAAACCUAGAAACCGGACGGGGGUGGAUGUGGGGCUCGGAGCCCAAGCAAAAAACGGAUCGGGAGCGCCGGAGCAGGCCAUCACCGGAUGUUAGAGAUAGAAAAUGGUUGAAGUUUGGAGUGGAAAUCAAACAAGCCUUGGAGCAAAGGAAAAAAAAAGAUCAAACCACUCAAGCAUUCAUUUGAUUUAGAAAAGAGAACAUUUGUUAAGGUGGGGAGUUGAAAUCAUCUUUUAAUUAGUUCCACGUAUCUGGUAUCAUUACAGUUGGUUUACUUGUGUAAGUAUAAGUAGCUCUGCCGAAGCCUUUGCUCCUAUAAUUUAGUAACUAGUACAAAUGGAUCAAUAGGAAAAUCAAGUUGCAAUCAUUUCUCAGCCAACCAAACCUAUGUAAAUCAAAUUAUUGUCCAUGCCCGGCAUGCACAGGUGCCUGCCAUGCAUGCAUUGUUGCUCCAUUGUAAUAACCAUUAUUGUCCAUCGAUGUUGCAGCGCAUGUGUGCACUGUGCAGACACCAAGCAUCGAGAUUAUGUACUAGUAAGGUGUUGAAAUAAUGGGCCUAGCCCAUAAGUAAUUUCAGAAUUUCAAAUAAAUCUCAAAGGCCCAUGUGGGCAAGAGGUGGAGUGGUGCAAGUCUUUAGUCCCACAUUGCUAGUCGAGGGGAGGGAUGACCAACUUAAAUAUGGAAGUUGUCUCCACUCCUCCAAGCUAUGUGUGAAGGGCGCGGGCGCGAGGCACUUGCGUGAAUGGUCCGCCGAAAUCUGGCCCCCCUUGCGGGGGCGCGGCUUCCUUUUGCCGUUUUAUUUUUUGGUUACUUGGUCGUUAAGUCAUGGAAUCCUAACCGGUUUAGAUCACGAUCGUGAAGGUUUUUGGGAAGCGCUCUGCGCGACUGCUCGAUCGCUUCUUCCGCUUCGUCAAGUUCUUCGUCGACUCCUUCACCACGGCUCGUCUACCUCUUCGUCGCUCGGGCCUCACUCGUCGUCGCGAACAACGUCAGGCUGCUGAUCGUCGUCGCCUGCUGUAUCCGGUAGUCGUCCAGGAGCCGGUUUUCAUCAAGAAAGAAACGUACGGUCUCUUAACUCACAUUAUGUCUUCCAUACUAGCUAUUAUGAUUGUUGCAGUCUGAUAGCUCUGGAUAGUAUGGUAGAAUGUCUGAUUCUAUUUGCAAUGAUAGACUUGUCUAGAUCUUGCGUAGACAUGUCUAGUUUAAUCUGCUGCUUGUUCAUCAUAUUCAUGAUUUAUUUCUGGAUUAAGUUAAAACUAAAAGUGCUUAUAUAUCCAACAUAAGGUACCAAGAACACGUGAAGCACCCGGGGGAGGCUGCUCCACUCCGCAUGCACAGGUGGGCACGGCACCACUACUCGUCUCCUUCAGGCUGAGGAUAAGUGAUGUACGCUGAUCAACAGACCACGACGGAACCAGCAAUAAUAGUUUCAGCCUGCCUCACAGUAAUUAAUAUAUCCUGUAUCCUCCGAGGACCCCUCCCCUUAAUCUUGGCCUAUUGCAUCCAAUAAUGAUAUGUGUGUUUAUCCAAAUUUACGGCACCUUUGGCGGGGGUUCCACCCAGCUCCGCCCUCUCCACCUUCGGUACUCCAUGGGAAACCAUUCCUUUGGAAUCAAGGAAGCUUGAACAGUAUAACGAAUAAAGUUUCAUAUAUCCAUUUGAUUUCACAUGAAAUAAAAUAUUCUGUCAGAACCAAUGGUUUCACUGAAGCUCCAGGCAGCGAGCGAAGGGGUGAGAGAGGAUAACGCUUACUGUGUGUUACCAUCGCGUGCACCAUGGAUGACCAACGCGCAGCCGAGAUGAAACGGCGGACCUAAACAGGUCCUCGCUAUUUUUGCAGGUUCUCGACCAGGCCAGUUCUUUAGGCCAACCUAUCAUUCACGAGUUAAACAUACGGUGGCUGGAGAAAUGUUCUAUUCUUUUAAACAAUACCAGCUGGUUCCUCCGUUUUUAUUCCACCAAUACAAGCACCACCUUGUAACAUUUCCUAUGUUUUUUUUCCUUUCGUCUGUUUUCUCACUACAUGCGUUGCUCUUUCAUGCAUUUUUUUCCAUUCCUGUAUUCCAAAUAGGUCUACAUGAACACAAAAUGAACUAGGGGACAGAAAAAGCCAGUGAAGUUAGUUUUGAGCUUCACCAGCUACUUGCUACAUAAAGUGUGCUAUAGUCGCAGAAAAGCUAAGCUGGAUCAGACGUGGCCGAAACAAUGCCAAAGAGCUAGGUCCCUAGCUGAUGGCAACACAUCAGAUGACUAGCCUGCUUUUCUGUAAUAAUGAUAUUGAGCAAUACACUGCAUGGCUAACCUGCUUUACAAUAAUUGUCAUUUUAUAAUAUUGGUCAUCACGAGAGAUGCACAUUGCAUACACCGGCCCAUCCCUAUAAAUAGCCAAGCCUUUCAGCCAUCUUGGGCACCUCCUCUCAGGGCCUCGUCUCACCAUCAGACAUCUCGUUCCCAGUUAUAAUUUGCGAGGUUAGAUCAGGCUGCGCCAUGGCGUCCGCAACUGCUGUCAAGAUCGUCGCCACCUUCAUGCUGGUGCUGACCAUGGGCCACCUGAUGGCCGAAGCAUCACCGCAGCCUCGGCGUGUGCUUGCAGAAACGGAGCAUGCUGCGGUGUCCGGGAAUCCUGGCCUCCCAGGUGAUGCUAGCGUCAUGCAGGUCCUCGAACCCGCCCUAGUUUCUCGGCUUGCCUGCAAACCAGAGUGCACAGUCCCUUGGCCUCCUUUUGUAUGUAUCUGCUAGAUCCUCUUCCUGGCUCAACGGAACUUCAGGGAAAUGGCUGUGACGUCGGCCAAAGAAUAAAUUGGAUGAACAUAAUAUACCCCGGGUAGUGUAGCUUGGGCUUUUGUUGAGCGUCUGGUGCUAGUUGUAUUUUGUUUGCUCAUGUGGCUUUGCUUCUGGUUGCAUAUUGGCUUUCCUAUCGCUCUCUGUUGCAGCUAUGGUUUCUGCCAGGUGUGUGUUAAUGCGGUUUGUAAGCGGUGCUUGUUCCUACCUUCUGUUUUCAAUAAAAGAAGUCGGAGUCUCCCUCCGACUCUUGUUAUCAGUCAACAAAAAUGAGUUGUAUCAUAUAUAUCUGCGUCUUUUUUCUACGUAUCUUUGGGCUGCUUCAGCUGGAAGUUUAUCGUAAGUACGUGUAUCAGGAUGAUCGUUUGAAUUAAAACGAAAUGAUAAUGUGUGGCUGCUAGAAAUGGAAUGAGCAUCUUACUAUAUUACUAAUUGGAAGCCUCCACGUGAAGCCACCUAGAAAUUCUAGGUGGACGUUUUAAAAAAAACAAAACUCAUAGAAGCCUCCACCACCUAGGAAUCCUAGGUGGACACUCUAAAAAGAGACAAAUCCUAGAAAUUCUAAAAAAAGAAAAAAAUAAUAACAAUAAGAUUUUUUUGCAGUCAAUUACAUAUAUUUUUUUGAGACACCGUGCUGCUAGCUCUUGCCAUUGCGACCAGUAAAGCAAGCAGAUAGUAAGAUGACAUGCGUGUGGAUUGAUUAAAACAAAUUCAGUUAGUUGAUUCUAAAUCGUAUGUAUCCUAAAAGGAAGAUAUGUGCGUGCAUGGUCCCUAGCGAUGACAUGUAGACAUGUAUUGCAAUUUCUUUUUUAAAAAACAUGUCUAUCUCUAAACCAACAAACAGAAAAAAUAUCAAUCUAAAUCUAAAUCUCUUCCGUUCUCACACGCCUAUUAAAGAGAAGACAACCAAUCCCAUCCAUGUUCCAUAGAAUCCAUCUAAAAGCUUGCUCACUGCGGACGGCAUUUGACGGCAAAUCAAUGAAAGAUCAUCCUCUCCAAAUAGCUGGACGGCAUCACCAUCUUUAUCUCACCAACCUACAGAGCUACAACGAUGUUGUAGAGAUCAACUAGGUAACCUACCAAUCACCCUCCCCUUUUCUAUAUGCUCUAAAGAACACGUGGAGUAAUUAUAGGCCUAUAGGAGCCGACUAACCUAGAUUAAUAUGAAAAAUAUUCCAAUAUUAAAAGCAAGCAGAUAGUAAUACUUGCCUUUGACCAUUUUUCUAGAACUGUUAUUCCUAUUGAAUGUUCAAGUGCUACGGCCAGGCAUCGAAUGCCUGCACGGAACCUUCCUAUUGAAUGGUUACUCUAGAGAUCAACGCACCGCGAGACAUUUUUAUGGAAUUUGUUUGAUUCCCCUUCUACAAUUAGAUUAAUUUUUCAUGGCAUAUAUUACUACUAUUAAAUUAUUUGUUUAUUGUCGGGCCUGCUGCAUGUGUGGUAUAUAUGACUUGCUUCUCACCAUUGUUCUCAAACUAUUAUUCCUAUCGAAUCUUUCUAUCGAAAUAUAUUUUAAUUACUUGAUUGUUGUUUGUGUACCAUAACUUCUGUAUAGAAAAAUUCCAUGUUUGUAGAUAAUGUCUUUUGUAUAGAAAAAUAGCCCAAUUAGAUCCAUCACCAUCUUUUGCUUAUGUAGUUGAACAAGUUGCAAUGUUGAACAAAACUUUAAGUGAAAUUAGACCAGGAAAAGGAAUUGUGGAACAUUAAGGCAAGGGUAACCAGAUUGUGGAAUGCAACCUUACUCAGUAGUGGCGAACAAUUAAGUCUUGACAUGAUCCUUAUUGAUCAAAAGGUAUGAUAGAUGUUCACUUUGAUUGCAUUAUUGGUAUAAUUUUUGGUUUACAAAUUAUUAAUGAUGAUGCAAAAUUAGGGAACCAUGAUCCACGGUGUUAUCAAUAAGCCCUAUAUGAAAAAGUUCAAACCAUUGAUUGAAGAAGGCAAUGUGUACAUAAUUGCAAAUGUCAGAAUCACACCAGAACCACAGAAGUAUCGGCCAGUGGAAAAUGACAGGAUAGUCAACUUCUUACCCACAACUGCACUAAAAACGAUCAAAGAUACUGAAGACAUUCCAAAGUAUAGUUUUAACUUCAUGAGCACGGAUAUGCUUUCAGCAAGAAUAAAUGUGGACAUGUACCUAUUAGGUAAAACAUUACUGGCUUUUCAAUUUUUACACUUCCACUCAUUAAAUGACCAUCUAAUAAUAAUACAUAUUUAUGUUUCAUAGAUGUUAUAGGUAUCUCAGCUCACAUUGGACCGAUAGAAGAAACAAGGACAAACUUCGGAUUUACUAAAAUCCGUGAUAUUGUGCUCCUGAUCGAGUAAUUCUCUUUUCUUUUGUAGAAAACAACUACAAAACUUUCAACAUUUACAUGUAUGUUAUAGAACUUCUGUUGAACUAAAAAAUAUCUUCUACAGUGCCCCUACAAAUAAUUAAUUUCGUAGUUGGAUAUUUAAAAUAUUUAUUAUUCACUUUUAAAUUUGUGGCCAUGAAGUUAAAGUUAGAUUUUGGGGAGACAAAGUUGAGGAAGUUGAUGAUAAGACAAAAUCCCAUGUCAUUGCAAUAACAUCUACAACUGUGAGUAAAUUUGGCAGUAAGUCUUCAUUCAAUAUGAGUUAUUCAAUAUUAGUCAUUCAACAAACUAACCUCGUAAGAAAAAUAAAUAAUUGAUGUUUUAUCAGGGUAUUCUCUAUCGUCAACCAAUGCAACAAAACUUUAUGUAGAUCUACCUAUUCCUGAAACUAAGGAUGCACAUGAUAGGUGAGAAAAAUUAGAUAUUGUUUUUCUAUUUUAAUCUAUGUAGCAUGCACUCUAACAUGAUACAUUCUUUCAUAUGAUAAAAAAAUGUUAGUUCAAUUGAAAAUAUUGUCAAAGAGAUUCAUAUUGAGGACCAUCUAAAAGGGACAUUGGAAGACCAAAUGCAGUACAAUAGAAGAACUUUAGAAGAAUUAAAUUUCAUAUUAUUUGAAACAUCAAAUCAGGUAUGGAUUAGUAUGUUCAUUGUACACUAUACUAUUUAAAGACUUACAUACAUAAUGAUGGUAUUGUUCCUACUUUCAGGAUGAGGUAUUUACUAUUGAAGCAACAAUAAAUGAAAUUAAUGCAACAUAUGGUUGGUUGUCACACCCGAUUUUAAGGACAAAAUUGAGUGCAUUAAAUACAUGUGCACCAGGAUCAAGUUACACACAUCCUAUGAGUACCGUCCUUCUUUGGCACAAAGAUAACCGGUGCUCCCCAUGGUGAUGAACUAGGCCGAAUAAACUAUUUUGCUGAUAAUUCCUCUAGUUGUUGUUUCAAUUCUUUUAAUUGUUCAACCAACAUUCUAUAAGGACGUUUGGAGAUAGGUGCAGUACCAGGUAAAAGAUCAAUAGCAAAUUCAAUGUCGCGGUCAGGUGGCAUACCUGGUAAAUCGUCGGGGAACACAUCCGGAUAGUCACACACCACUUUGAUAUCUUCCAAGGAUUUUCCAGCCAACUGAUUAACUGCACAAUCUGCUGCUGAGGGUAGAGUAGCUACAAACUCCACUUUCUCUCCAUCAGGACCUGUUAGCAGAACUGUCCUCUUGGCACACUGAAUCGUUGCAUCAAAAGCGGCUAACCACCUCAUCCCCAGAAUUACAUCGAUUCCACUGGACUCAAGGACGAUAAGAUCAGCCGGAAACUCUAUACCCAUUAUUCUCAGUUUAACUUGUGGACAGAUGUAUUGAGCCUUCAUUGACCCCCCAGGUGAACUCACUAGCAUAUGACGCCUCAUGGUAUGCAUGGGUAAAUUAUGCUUUGCUACAUAAUGACUAGUGACAAAAGAAUGCGAUGCUCCAGAGUCAAAUAAAACUGAUGCGGGGGCAGAGUUGACAAAGAACAUACCAAGCACUACAUCUGGAGCCUCCUUAGCAGUCUCGGCUUCCAUGUGGUUCACCUUGCCACAAACAAAGCUUUGCUGCCCCUGAUUGCCUUGUGGGGUCUGGUUCCCAUUCCUCGGUUGCUGCAUCUGAUUCUGCCGAGGAGCACUGCUGUUCUGCACGGGGGUAGCUGGCCCACCUCUCUUAGGACAAGAGCUGGCAUAGUGACCAACCUCGCCACACUUGAAGCAGGUAGGACCCACUGGAGCAUUGGGCCUUGUUGGAGUGCCAGUAGGGGUCAUCUGGCGGUUCUGCGUAAAGCUUGGGCGCGGAGUCUGCAUAGUCUGCAUCCCUGGAUGCUGGAACUGAGGGCUAGGGCGCUGGAAUGACUGCUGAGCAGGGCGCGGAAAUGAGUGCUGCCAAAAAUUCCCACUCGGGCCCCCUGCGCGGAACGGCGUCCCUUGCUGUGGAGCAAAGCGAGGGCGGGUGUUGCUUCCUGAAGACUACUGGGAAUUGAAUUUCCUCUUCAUCUCCCCGAGCUCGUUCCUCUUGUGUUCCAGGCCAAUUGCCUUGUCUAGCAUCUUCUGGAAACUGGGGAAGGUGUGCGACAUAAGCUGAUAUUGGAGUGGUCCAAUCAACCCAUCCAAGAAUAGCUCCUGCUUCUGCUCAUCAUCAGCAACAUCUUCGGGAGCAUAUCGGGACAACUGGACAAACUUGUCCCUGUACUCUGCCACUGUCAUGUUCCCCUGCUUGAGAGCAAGGAACUCCUUCUUCUUAAGCUUCAUCAAUCCGGAAGGAAUAUGAUGACUUCUGAAGCUAGUCCUGAAUUCAUCCCAGGUGAUGCCAUUAGCAUUGGCAUGGGUGGUGGUGUAAGCAUCCCACCAAUCAGCAGCUGGCCCUUCCAGGCGUCCUGAAGCAUACAGGACCUUCUCCCUGUCAGUACAUUGGGCGAUAUCCAGCAUCUUCUCCACUGUUUUCAGCCAAUCAUCAGCAUCUAAUGGAUCCGGAGAAUGUGAAAACGUCGGGGGCUUGUGGCUCAUGAACUCCCUAUGCCUGUCCCUUGGCGGCGGCUGCUGCUGGUUGUUGUUGUUGUUAUUGUUCAGCUGAGCUUGUAAAGCUGCCACGGUGUUGGUCAGUCCGGCGAGAAGCUGAGUCUGAGCUGCUAGAAACUGCUCCAUCCCUGCAGGUGCUUGUUGGUUCUGUUGCGGAGCGGUGUUGGGAUUGCUGCUGUUGUCCCUGUGGCGUGGCACUGUGGGACGGUCAACUCCUGAUCCGGACCUGGUGUUUACCAUCUGAGCGUUAGAGACAAUGGAUUUAGAUAGAUGUGUGAAAGAAUAACUGAGAAAGAUAAAGCGACCAGAUGUAAAAGUAACACAGAUUCUGUUAGCUCCAUUUAAUUAGGUGUGGUCGUCAGAAGAAGUGUCCAUAAAUUCUGAACAAUUACCAAGUCGUAACUUAUUAAAUUUGUAAACCAACCCAACUGGAAUCAUCUCAAUCGGACUUCUGGAUCUCGAGUUACAAAAUUAACAAGCUGACAGUGUCGGUCGAUAGGUUCAGAUUCUGAGUGCUUUACUAAUUCGCAUACACCUCCCAGACAGAUACACCAAAAAUUCUGAAAAAUUUACAGAUAGUACUCCACGAAAUUCUGAAACUAACCCCACUGGUUUCAUGUCAUUUGGACUUCUGUAGCUAGAGAUAUAAAUAAAAAAGUACUGGCGUGUCAGUUAAUGUCGAGAACAGAAUUGAAUGUCGCUUAGCUUGCGUGAUGGAUAGAUUUAGACAGAUGGUAGAUCAUGAUUAAGGAAGAUUAAAUACUGAUUUAGAACAGAAAUAAAACCCAACUAAGCACUUUAUUUAUUAAGACCAGUAUCGUGUGGCAAUUGCCCCACAUACCGCACUCAUUACAAAAUCCAACUCAAACAUGUAGCACAAAACCAAUCAUCUAAGCACACUUUAACUAACACACUCGAACGACGUCUAACGAUUACAAGAAUUUAAACUAAAACACUCCUAAUUUCCUAGAGGUCUUCUGCGGCGGUGCCGGGCGAGUCGUAGCGGGGACGCUUAGGCGACGGCGACGAAGCGGGAUGAACAGCAAACUCCUGCGGCGGCGGUGCUCCCGUCGCGGCAGCCAUAUUCGCAUCCCUCUCCCACCGGAGUUCCUGAACCUCCUGUUGAAGCUCCUGGAUGUGGUUGUUUGCUUCAUUCAAUGCGGUGAGAGCUGCCGACGUGUACUUGCGGAGGAAGUCUGUAGCCAUGUCAACCCCAUCGUUAGUAGCGAUGAAGGUUCUUGCUUCCCCACUAGCUCGGUAAGGAAGGAACCGAUGGUAAGUGUGCUGCAAUCGCGGCCGUUCCUUGUGGGAGACGACCUCAAGUGCCCUCCUGGCGGCCUCGGCAAUGCCGGAUUCCAUGGUCCUCCUUAUGGUCACAUCAUGGUGAAAAGCCUUCACCUCCCAUCCUCCCUCGUGCUCCUCACGAAGGACAACCUUCACCUCCCAAAAAGUGGGAUAGCGAGGGUGGGUGAACCGGGAGCACUUGUAGAGUGGCCUCAUGCCGUACCCCAAGCGGUGACAAGUCCACCUGAGUAUGUCGGCCAUGUGCACUCCUUGGCCAUAAUCUUCCUUCACCCAUUUGAUCCAUGUCUCGGGCUCGGGAUCUGCUUCGGGCUCAUCAUCCGUCAAGUCGACGACCGGUACGGGCGUCGGGGCUGGUGCAGGAGCGGGCGCCGGUGCUGGCGACGGUGCUGGUGACGGCGUGGUCUCCUGCUCCACGGUCACGGCGUCCCCGUCAGAGUCAUCCCCCGGAUGCUGGAAGAUCUCUUCCUCUUCUUCCUCGUCCCAAGGCUCCAUGGGGGCGUACGACGGCGCGAUGCCAUGACGCGGCGGACGGGUGCUCUUGCGUGCGGUCAACCGGGUGCGAGCCAUCUAACAGAAAGAAAGAAGAAAAUUUUAGAAUAAAAUUUUGAACAAAGCUAGAUAAUAAAAUAGCAAUAAGGAUGAGACAAAUCAAGUUUAAGAAUAAUUAAGUAGAUUUAAAUUAAGAAAGGUAGGAAUGGCUACUAGAUUAUUAUAAUCCUUAAAUACGACCAUUUUCUAACUAGGCUAACGUCCUACAGUCAACACGGCUCUGGUACCACUUUUGUCACACCCGAUUUUAAGGACAAAAUCGAGUGCAUUAAAUACAUGUGCGCCAGGAUCAAGUUACACACAUGUACGACAAUAGUGAAUAGUAAAGCCAGUGCUAAAUCGAAUAAAGAGAGUAUUAACCAUUAUUACAUGACCGAAUGUCUCAAAUAAACCACAAAGUCUAAUUAUUACGCAGCGGAACUCCAAAGAUGACGACGACUCCAUAGGCAGCUGACUGAAGAAACGUACGCCUAGAACUCCUCGAAGUCGUGGAAGUACUCCUCUUCCCAAUUAACUUGGUCUGAACAGCGGUUUUGCAAGGGUGAGUACACUUAUGGUUGGUACUCAACAAGUCGUGGGAAGUAGUGUAGUGUAAGGCUAAUUCAAGGUAUGGCUAAGGCGUAAAUAGCAUUCGCUUUUAAUUAAGUUGGUCAAAUUUUAUUAGCAUUUACUAAGUAUAAGUUCAUACCACCCGAAAUUAAACAUGAACAUAAAGUAAACCACAUGUGCAUGAAAUGAUAACAAAUUAAAUCCAUCUUCCGAUAAUAUUAUCAUGUGAGGGUCCAGGCCGCUCUUAACCGUGAGCACGGCUGAUUGAUCAGUUUAACACUCUGCAGAGGUGGCACAUCUUUACCCACAAGUCGCGUAAAAGUUCAAAAGAACUUUGGACCCAACCAUGCGGUGUUUGCAAGGCACCAUACCACACUUCCGAGGUGUGAUUGCAUAGGGACGCUACGAGGCCUUUACAAAGAUUCAUUAAUCAGUGGUAACCCGCUAAGGUUUCGGUGUCUGGCGUGCACCACCCAUCCCAGGUAAAAUGCAACGACUCAGUCCCCCCCCUUGAAUCAUCACGAGUAAGGUCACCCCAGACUAAGGUUUCUAAUUAAUCAGCCAAGACCAGAGCUAUUUAGUCUUGUGGUAGCACUGUUUUCCUGGGUGGUCGCUCCAUGUUCUGAUUAACAAAUAAUGAUCUUGUCUUAAUGAAAGGUAUAACAGAAAUAAGGCAAGAUUAAGCAUUGUUUUUAGUUAAACCACCAUGUACCAAGUAAGCACUAAGCAUGAGCUACCCAACAUAAAGUAAACCGGUUGGUCAAGGCAAAGGUAAAACAAUCUAGGCCAACCUUAAUUGGGACCCAUCAAUUUAAUCUUAAUAUGUGCACAGCAUAAAUGUUGAGUACGAGAAAGUAAAGGUGUAUAGGACAAAAAGGUAGUGAUCAAGGACACGACUUGCCUUCUUGGCCUUGCUCCUGCUGUUCGUACUCCUCGAAGGCUUGAUCGGCAACUCCCUCGAACUGCGGGGCGUCUACACGCAUCACACGAGCACAUACAAGCAAACAUGGGCAAAAGUAAGAAAACAGUAUACCAAACAUAGUCAAACAGAGAAAACAAGCUUGAAAAGAUGAUCUACGCUUUAAAACGAACACGCGGAUAUAAAGAACGCGAAAAACGGAGUUAAGAUGCAAAAGAUAUGAUUAAAACAAAAUCCAGGGACUUUUCUGUAAGAAAAACAAAACUUUUAGGGCCUAUCCGCGAAAACCGAGGGCUUAUACGUAAUUAUGCGUAUAAACCGAGGGUCUGAUGCGUAAAAACAUCAAACCCGGACGGCGGGUUGAUUUCUGGAAAGGUCAAGGGUUAAACCGAAAAAUGCGAGGGCAGAUCUGUAAAUACUUUCAACGCGAUCUGGACCGCGGGUUGAUUUGCGAAAAAGGCGGGGGCUAAAGUGCAAAAACUGCACGGCGCGGCUCGGUUGACCGGUACGCGAUCUUGAUUGACUCGCGUCCGGCCGUCGGAUUAAGAUCCGACGGUCGCGGUGAUCCGCGACAUCGCGGCGGCGGCGGCGAGCGGCGGCGAGCGGCGGCAAGCGGCGGCGGGUCGCCGGAGUUAGGCAAAAUAGCGCCACGAGGCACGGUUUAACGCGCGGGUUGCACCAAAAAAGAGAGGGGAACACGUCGAUCCCGUUUUGGGGGUUCUUGUCGACGGGGGCUCACCGGCGACGGCGAACGGCGGCGAGGAAGAGGCGGCGGCGCUAGGAGCUCGGGCGGCUAGGGUUUCGGGGAGCUGCGGCGCUGGUUUUGGGCGGAGGAGACUGGGAGGAGGCGGCGGCUUUUAUAGGGCUUGGAGAUAGAGCCGGCGCGGGUUCAAAUCCCCCGGAGGAGUCGGAGCGGAUGGAGUCCGGGGCGGAGACGGCGCGCGGCGGUUGCGGAGUUCUGACCGGAUUCGGCCGGAGGUGGGAGACGAUGGGUGGGGUCCACCCGUCAGUGGCGGAGGGGAGCGGUAGACGGGCCGGCGCGACCGUGGGCUGGCGCGCGCUCGUGGGCUGCGGGGAGCGGGAGAGAAGCGGCGAGCGGGCGCUGGCGGAGCAGGCCGAGCGGAGGUAGAGCUGGGCCGCGGAGAAAAAGGAGGAGGCCGGCGGGCUGCUUCGCAGGCCGGUAAGGAUGAGGCGGCCGGGCCGAAGAAGAAAAAGAAAAGGAGGGACAAGGAGCUUUCGGCCGAGGGAAAAGAAGAAGAAAAAGAAAAGGAAGAAGAAAAGGGAAAAGGUUUUGGAAUUUGAAUUUAAAUCUGAAAUUCAAAAUUUGAUUCAAACUCAAGCAACCAAAAAUUAUGCUCCAGCAUGAAUGCACAAAUAAUUCCUAUGAUGAAUUAAUUGAAUUAAAGAAAAUGAAUUUAAAUGCCUAGAAAUUAAAUAACACCCUAAUUUGAGCAAAUUUUAAUGAAUUUGAAUUAUUGAAAUUUUGGGUGUUACAUUGGUACUACAUCUCAUGUAGUAGAGGCGAUUGUAAGAAGCAACUUGAAAAGAAGUUUGAUCACUACUAUUGCAAUAAAUGUGACAAGAGAGCCGAACCUAAAGCCCAGUAAAUUAUUUAGUAGUUUACAAUCUUAUUAUAAUACUUCUAUUUCUAAUAGGAGAAUAAUAUUUUCAGAUUCAAAUUAAGCUUCAAAUAAGUGAUCCAACAACAAGUGCAACUUGUGUACUUUUGACAAGGAAGCAGAAAUGAUAAUUAAUGAAUGAGCAGAUUCGAUGAUCACCUCAGUUGAUCAUGAUAAUAAGUAGCUACCAAAAUCAAUUCAGGAAAUAUGUGAAGAAACAUUGAUUUCUCAAUUCAGAUUGACCGAGUACAACUUGACAAGUUUUAGACCUGAUUAUACUGUUUCAAAGAUAUUUUUUCCAAAAGAAAAGGGCAGUUCAAGAAUUGGUAUGGAAAGUGUAAAAAAGGUAACACUUUAUUAUUAAUUUUUUAUUGCACUUUUUUCUUUUGAAUCCGUAAUACUUAAUAAUUUUACUAUAUCAAUGAAACAAAUUCUAACCUAAAUUUAUUUUCUUUUUUAUUAUUUGUAGGAAGUAGAAGACAACUCAGACAAAUGCUACACGAUAACUACCGAGAAUGAAGAGGUAGACACUGAUGACUCUUUUACCGAGAAAGUAACAUUCGUAGAAGAAGCCAUAAGGACUGGGGAAAGAUUGGCUAGAAAAGUAUACUCACUUCCAUGUCAGUGUUCAUUCUAUUUACAAUACAUGCAAAAAAAAUAUUAUUCAUGCAAAAUUGCAGGUCUACUAAGCAUUAAAGGAAUAGCGGAUAGUGCAAUAUGUAAUCUGAGCAGCAUGCAUUACAAAGUGCUCUACUGCAAUUAAAUUAAAAAACAUGAUAUAUGUUGAAUUCUUAGACUUUAUUAUUAUACUUUUCUACGUGACAAUUCACAAUUUUUUAGAAAAAAGAAGAUCCCAGAAGAAGUGACCAUGAAAAAAGGUCUAUGACCAGCAAUAAGAAAAAAUGCAAGCAUAGAAACAAAUCCGUAGAAAACAUAGAAAAUAAGGUACUCCAUAAACAAAAGUAUUCUCUUAUAUUUUUAUUAAAUAUUUUUUUAACACUUGACAAGUUCUUUUUUAGGAUCAAUAUAUCAGCAAUUCAGAUGUCAUUGGAGAUGAAACCUUAGUUCAUCCAAAAGGUCAAAAAAAAACAUCUGAAGAAAGGUGUUUGGCUGAAAAGGAAAAGCAAAAAAGUGGUAAUGCAGACAAACACAUGCAGAAAAAUAUAAAAACAUGUCAUAGGGAGGCAGACCAAUCUUGCAAGGAGGUAUAGACGAAACGUGAUACACGACCUGCCUACCUUGUCGUGGAUACCCCAAGAAGAUGUCAUAGAGGUGCAGACCAAGCUAGCAAGGAGGUCGAAACGUGAUACACGGCCUGCCUACCUUGCCGUGGAUAUUAGCCCUGAGAUCAUUCUACUGUUCAAGGAAUAACACUCAAUGCUGCUGCUGCUGCUGACCUGGCUCCAUAAAGUUAUACUCCUCUAGGUGCUUGCACUAACUUUAUCUGAAGUAUUAUUCUCUCUGCACUGUAUAUAUGGUUAUGGAGUUUGCUGGAGUAUCCGGGGCGAAGAACCUACAUAAUACGUCUUGGAACUAAUUGACAUUGAUUCACAGACAAACUCUACAAGGUGCUGUUCUUGCCAUUUUAGAGCAUCCAAAGGACUAUAAAUAACAUAGUUUACCAUAUACCAUAUACCAUAUACCAUAAUAUGUUAGCUAAAAUAAGAGCAUACACAUGUUGCAGGAGUCCAAAAGCACCGGUUGAGGACCAGGUACAUUGAAUUACUAGAAAAAGACAGGGGACAAGGUUUAGGUAACCACAUGAAACAUUUGAAUUUAUUGUACUAUGAACACUUAGUUACCAUGCCAGGAGCACAUAGUUAACACUAACAUUUAGCCACUUUAGAUCAUCCCGAAUCACCAAUGACCCUCAAUAGUGACAAAUUUUGGUUUAAAUGCCAUCACCAAUGAUCCUCAAUAGUGACGUAUUUAGGUUUAAAUCCCGUCACUAAUAACCCUCAAUAGUGACCUGUUUUGGUUUAAAUCUCAUUACCACUGAUCCUCAAUAGUGAUGUGUUUUAGCAAAACAUGUUAUCAAUGACUUGUCAUUGGUGACGUGUUAAAACGCGUUAUCUCAAUGGCAAAUCAUUGGUGACGUGUUAUCUCAAUGUUAUCAAUGUUCUAUUCUUUUCAACAAUACCAGCUCGUUCCUCCGUUUUUAUUCCACCAAUACAAGCACCACCUUGUAACAUUUCCUAUGUUUUUUUUCCUUUUGUCUGUUUUCUCACUACAUGCGUUGCUCUUUCAUGCAUUUUUUUCCAUUCCUGUAUUCCAAAUAGGUCUACAUGAACACAAAAUGAACUAGGGGACAGAAAAAGCCAGUGAAGCCAAUUUUGAGCUUCACCAGCUACUUGCUACAUAAAGUGUGCUAUAGUGACGUGUUUUAGCAAAACAUGUUAUCAAUGACUUGUCAUUGGUGACGUGUUAAAACGCGUUAUCUCACUGGCAAAUCAUUGGUGACGUGUUUUAAAAAAACAUGUCACCGUGAGAGUCAUUGGUGAAGGGUAAUUAAAAUGCGUCACUAAUGUUGUAGCAUUAGUUAUGAUAAUUUAGUAACGCAAAAAUCUACCAUCAGUAUUGAGCUUUAGAGCCAUCGCUAAUGUGGGUUUCUUACAUAGUGAUGCAAGCUCUACAAGGUGCUGUUGCUGCCAUUUUAAAGCAUCCCAUGACUACAUGUUAAUAACAUAGUUUACCAUAUAUCAUAAAAAUAUUAGUUACAAUAAGCACAUACGCAUGUGGAAGAGUCCGAAUGCACCGGUUGAGGACUAAACACAUUGAAUUACUAGAACCAAAUGUAUGUUUAGAACAAAGACAGGGGUCAAGGUUUGGGUAACCGCAUUAAAAACAUUGGAUUUUACUGUACAUGAACACUUAGUUACCAUUACCAUGCCUUGAGCACCUAGUUACAACAAACAUUAAUUUAGCCACUUUAGAGCUUCCAGAAUCGCUAUAAAUAAUAUACCUACGCCGUACCAUGAAAACAUCAAGAAGAGAGACGGAUACAUGGACCACCAUCAAGCGAGUAGUGACAGCACGCACAAGAAUACCCGGAACCUGUUAGCUUGUCUGUAGUGAUCUGUUUUCUUCCCCAUAAAAUCCAUGAGUAUUGCCACAAAUAAUGAAAGAGGCUGACCAAGCUAGCAAGGAGGUAGAGCAAACGUGAUACACGGCCUGCCAAGAUUGCCCUGGAUACGCCAAUAAGAGCGACAGAUACAUGGAUCACACCAAUAUGGUGAAACGUAUAUUCAUCACACAAGCAAAGCUGGUCAGUUUAUCCAUGGUCAAAUUGUGGUCUUUGUUUUCACUUGAGAGCUAAUUGAGGCACUAUAAUAUGGGCAGGCCUAUCUUCAACAGACAUGACAGCUACAGGGAACUUGACAUAAUUUGCUGGGCCGCCUGUGCACAAUUAUUUGUUUUAUUGUCCUUGCAUAGAAUGCUAAAAUACUCUUUACAAAAUGUUGGAUCUAAUAUUUGAAAUAUAGAGUAGUAAUCAUAUAUUGAUCAACAACUUGAAAUUAUCUGUACAUUCUCGGUGAAGCUGUUGAACUAAUUUUUGCAAAUUAUUAAUUCAUCUCAUUACGUAAAGAAAAAAGUAAGUGGAUAAGAUAUUUCGUGGACCACAUCACUGCAAACAUGUCAUGGAGAGACAGACCAAGGAGGCAGGACGUGAUACACGACUUACCCUAGGUUGCCGUGGAACCGCCAAGAAGAGAUACAGAUACAUGGACCACACCAUCUUGGGAGUAGUGACAGCAUAUAUGCAGAAGAAUACCCCGUGCCUAUUUGCAUGCAUGUCUCAAGUGAUCUGUUUUCUUCAGAAAAUACAUGAGCAUUGCCAGAAAGAAUGGCAAGAGACAAACAUGUCAUAGAGACUUGCAUGUCUUGCCUUGGAUACGCCAAGAAGAGGGACACAUACAUGGAUAACACAAAUCUAGUGACACGUAUAUUCAUCACAAAGGCAAAUCUGAUAAUUUUAUCCAUGGAGCAGACCAAGGAGAAAUUGAUGACGGACAUGUGAUCUCUGUAUUCAGUUGAAAGCUAAUUGAGCUACACUAAUAUGAGCAGGACUAUAUUCAAGAGACUUGUUGAGAGCUACAGGGAACUUGUAAUAAUUUGCUGGGCGGCCUGCGCACAAUGAUUUGUUAUACAUAGUUGAAAUAUUUCAAGAAUUUAUCAACCUCAUACUCUGAAACCCUUGGUGCAAUGUACUCUGCUUUCCGAGGUAGACUGUUCACGUAAAAUGAGGUCAUGCGUAAGACGGAAUCGGAUUGGAUUCACAGGGAAUCAGAUUUGGAUAGCACCUUUUAGCAGGUUUUUAGUCAAAUGCAAAUUCGGAUCCACAUGUGGUUGAAUGCGAGUUCAAAAUUCUACUUGGAUAUCCAUUUAAUUUAGGUGAUAGCAAUUAGCACAAAAUGUUGGAUGAACAAAAUCAUAGUUAGACAUACAAUUACAUGUAUGGUUAAAGUAUAAUACAAUACACCAAGAUUAUUCCUUGAAAAUAUUUCUUAAAAAUAUUAUAAUAAAUGAAUAAAUAUAAUUGUGGCCACCAACAAAUAGUCGGUGGUCGCUAAGUUGGAGCCAUUUCUGGUUACUAAUGCGGCCUUCUCCUCGACCAGCGACGACAGCUGAGCUUGUUCCUUCUGACACUAAAUCAUCAGAGUCUUCCCUCCACUACUAUAGAAUGCACCUUUAGCACCAAUUGGGAAAUCCCCUUCAGUAUUGGAUGCUGCAACCAGUGCUAUAUAUCAAAAUGGAGACUAAAAGCCUCGGUCUUGGGUACCGGUUGCAUAACGCAUUACUAAAGGAGGCAAAAGAGAAAUGUAACAAAAAAAAUAUUUUGAAUUCCAAGAAUGUUUCACUAUUCAAGAUGACUAGCUGAGAGUCAACAGACAAGAUACUAGGAAUGUGGGUGCUUGAAUGCAUUUGUACAGAGGUCAUACUAUUUACAAACUCUUCUAUGUUUCCAUAUGACUACCUACUUCAAUGUCACGCGAGCCAUUCAGCUGGACACAUGGCACACUAGCUUGCAUGUCGAAUCCAUGAUUAAUUAUUUGCACUUGUGAUCUCUUACCAGUAUUUGUCCAGACUAGAAACGUGCAACACAUUUUUAGGAUAUGGACACGCAUAUAUUUGGACUAGUAUACAGGUCACCUUUGGAUGCGUACAAGGAUGACCGGGAGGGACUAAUGGAUACAAGGAAGGGACCAUCAGGAUUAAUAUUGACAUAUGCCACAUGACAAUCUUCAUUGUCAUGCAAUCCCUAUCAACAAUCAUGGAAUCCCUAGUGUACUAAUCCCUGGAGGGUUGUGUGGAAAUUUAUUUUACCUUGCGGUGAAAAUCUCAUGAGCAGUCAUUAGUUAAGCUGACUAGCUGAGAUAUAAUAGACAAGCUAGUAAGAUUGGGAGCAUCAAUGCAUCCAUACAGGGUCACAAUAUCCUUUCCAUUCACUUUUAUAUAUAACCCUACGAAUACAAGUCCAACGAAAUGCGGGCCUUUCGAUCAAGAUAAAUUAAAUGGCCCACUUGUAUUUCUAAUCCAGGAUUAACUAUGCCCUCUGUUCAUCUCUUGCAAGCACGUGCAACACAUUUUCACGAUAUGGACAUGCAUGGAGGUUAUUAUACUGUUUGGACAAACUCUGAUGUGCCAUGACCUAAAUGCUUAGGGCCUGUUUGGUUUGAGUUGCUUAUUAUAAGCAACUUAAAGUUGCUUAAAGUUGCUUAUUUGAAGUUGCUUAUUUUUAGUCUAAACUGUUUGGAUACCCUUGCUUAUGAGCAUUGAAUGAGUUGGACAUUGUCAAAUUUGCCCCAUGUGUUGCUACCCCUCCAAUUUGCCUCCCCACCCUUCUUCUUCCUGCACACGUCCGAUCCCGGGGGCCGACGGCGGGCAGGGAGCAGCAGCAGCUGGCCAGGGCGGCGGUGGGGCGGGAGCGGCGGCGCACACCAGCACGCGCUCGCACGCCAGGUGCUAGGGCGCGGCGAGGCAGUCGUCGUAGCCCACCGGGAGCGGGUGCUCGGGCGCGAGGCGGUACUCGACGGAGAUGCCGAGCGUCGGGCGCGCGGCGGCGAGCGCGUUGAGGAAGCGAUGGUAGUGCGGCGACGUCGCGGACUCCGCCACGAAGCCGCCGCCGUGGACGUACACCACCACGGGCAGCUUCGUCUUGCCGUCGGCGGCCGCGGCCGCGGCCUGGGGUGGCAGGUAGAGGCGGACGGAGCAGGAGCCGAGGUCGACGUCCCUGGAGUCGACGCCCGUGGCGGCGUCCAGGCUGGGCCCGACCGGCGGCGGCACGAGCGGGCGCUCGAUGCGGCCGCUCUUGUAAAUCCGACGGGUCUGUGCGGAGGCGGGCGGCGGGCGGGAGCGGCGGGUGGGAGCGGCGGCAGGUGGUGCGGAGGCCGGCGGCGGCGGGUGGCGCGGAGGAAGGGGAGCUGGUGAGUGGUGACAGGGGAGGGGGGGAGAGAGAGGGGGGGUAGGGUGCAUUGAAUGAGGGCAGGAGGUGUAAAGUGCACCUUUUAGUCCCCAUGAGCAACCAUAAGCAGCCCAAGAGUUGCUUAUUUGCUUAUAAUAAGCAACCUCAUAAGCAAGAGUGAUUGGUUUCAUAAGCAACUUAUUUGCUUAUUUUAAGUUGCUUAUGCAUAAGCAUGUGAAACCAAGCAGGUCCUUAACCUAUGGUUGUGGCACCACACAGUACAUAGUAUUUAAUAAUGCUAUUCGUUUGGUAUGUGCACAAGGGCACGCAUGAAAUGUCUGGCCCACGGUAAACAAGUACGGACGCUGCAAAUAAUCUACUCUGCUCGUCCAGUCCCUAGCCUAUAAAUAGAUGCCAUGCUAGCUCUUGUUGUGCUCACAAUUAAUCCUGACUACACACGAGCUUCUCUCCCUGGCCAAGACACAAUCAUAGUAUGAUGAAGAACAUGGCACUAGCCGGCAAUGGUAUGAAGAACUUAAUCCUCGCUGUUCUCUUACUGUGUCUAGUUAUAGGGCAGAUACAAGUGGAAGCUAAGAGCUGCUGCCCAUCCAUUACUGCAAGAAAUAUCUACAAUGCCUGCCGUAUCACGGGUACAUCCCGUCCAACGUGUGCAAAACUGUCAGGCUGCAAAAUUAUCAGCGGGGACAAAUGCAAGCCCCCUAACGACCACCUCACCCUUGACCCGGACACUGGUAAAUAAUAAAUUUAUCUCACUUGAUUUCUUCGUGUUUUGAGUCGUUAAUGUAUUUUCCAUCUGAUGAAACGUAUUGGUUUUGCAUUGAAGAGGAAGUUAAUGUGCUUAACUUCUGCAAGUUGGGGUGUGCGUCGUCUGUGUGCAACAACAUCAACGCUGGUAAGCACCUUUUGCUCAGACGGAGAAAACAAUAAUCAUUAAUUAGCGGCAGCUAGAAUCCUAUAAUCUAAUAUAUUUAUAUAUAUAUAUAAUUUUAUCAGCUCUGGGAAAUGAAGAGGCGAACGAUGCCGUUGAGAGUUGCGACCAAGCCUGCUCUAGCUUCUGCAACGUGCACGUUGGCGCUGCCACCGUGGUUGCUUAAGCAAAUGCAUCCAACUGGAUCGUCCUUGUGCUAAAUAAUUGGAUAUCGUAUCCACUUAAAGCUGCCUUGUGUAGUACGUUUUUGUUUGUGUCUCUCUUUAUAUUCCAAUAAGGUCGGUGAUCUUGAUGCCACACACUCAGACGUGUGUUCAUCUCCAGAUACUACUCCAUGCUACCUGCCCUUUGUGUUUUGUUCAAUAACUGGGUAUCAUAUCCCAGCCAGUGUGCCAUCUGUUUUGUGUUUAUUUCCUUCUAGUUUCAAAGGGGUUAUCAUGAUGUUACCUUCUUUCGAUAUGGUGCUUUGCAUGACUACUGUUGUAUGGUACCAUCUUGUUGGCCAAUAAAUACAUCUUAUCCUAUGACC
rnacentral:lncRNA from 1 species